AGUACGAUAAGUAAAAAGUGAUUUCUCAAAAAAUAUUAUAAAAUUCUUUAUUUAGUCAUUUUAUAUCUUUUGUAUGGUUUUUUUAUUUUUAUUUGUUAGUUGGUUUGGGACAACGCACAGCAAAUUAUUUAUUUUUUUUUCUAAGAAUUAUUUAUGUUUUACUAAUAUUAUGAUUUGAGUAAUAACAUUGCAUGUGUUCGUUUUAAUAACAAGUUAACUGUAACAAAAAAAAACACUGAUAAAAUUUAGUAACCGGUUAUGUCACAAAAUUACGUCAUCAAAAAGAGAAGAGUGAUGCUAGUGACAGUUUGUAACGACAAAUUGGUGGUUGUUUAAUUAAUUUAUUGUGGACAUUCAAUUACUUGUGCAAUAGCUAUUUUAUUGGAGGACGAAAUAUCAUAAUGAAGAUGCCGAUAUGGUUAUGAUCACGAUUUUAGUGGUGAGGUGAAAAAGGGACUGACGUGCGUCACGUGCUUCAGAUACUAUCUGAUGGUGGAAUAUAAAACGUCUGUUUUGAAUACAAUCUCAAUUCAUGUAUACAUUUGCAAGAUGUACAUGUAGGAAAAAUCGACUAAGACUGGUCAAGCUUAGAAACCGUAAAUCUCCAUUUAUGAUGAAAUCGUCGAUAUUUGUGAAUAAUACUUACAUAUAUAAUUCAGGCUAUUUCAGAGUAUUAGCUUUAUUAUAUAUAUGUGUGUGCUUUAAUGUAGGAAAUUUGUAUAUGUAUUAAUUUCUACUUUUAUUUCAAAAGAUUUUGUCUUGAGAAUCUUCCACCAACCUGAUAUACGUUAUUUUUCCAUAACAUUUUCGUGUAGUACAGUAUCGGUGGAGCAUCUUGUUGACACCAAUGCGUGUUAGCUUUUUAUUUUGCCUAGAUGAUACAGAUAAAUGUAAAGAUAUUCAAUCUGCGUUUAUUAAGUUGUAGGAUAUGGAGAAUACAUAAGCACUAACACAACAACAGUAAGAUGUAACAACAAGAGACAACACACCAUGGGAUGAAAGAAGAAGAAUAACAACGAUGAAAACACAAAUUAACUUUGAAAUAUCAUAAAAAUCAAUAAUAUAUAUGGAUCAUCAGUUCUUGCGAAGCGCGAUGAGGUACUGCAUUCCUGGUUUGGCAUUCUGGAUGCGAGAAAACUCUUCACGUGCCUUGACCUCGACGAGUUCAAAGGCUUUCCUCAUUGUGUCCACUCCAAAAUGUGCCGAUAGGAGAGCUCCACAGCAAGCUCUAAAGGAGACGGCGAGGAUCUUGGGGUCUAACGGAAACUCCCCGUUUGGAUGAAUGAUAUCCUCAAAAGCCUCAAUUGUGAACUUCCCAUUCUCCUUUAUGAUUUCCCUUAAUUCGCUUUCUUCUGCAACGUAGAGUGGUGUGCUAAAAGAGUCAACCUUAUCUUGGUCGAUGACACCCUAUUUUUUAAUCAUAAGAUUCGUUAGGAUACGAUAGUUAUGUAACUGUAGUCAUGGAGAUAAUUAAUUAGUUUAAGAUGAAACUAUAUAUAUGUACCUGUUGAGCAAGAUCGUUAAGAGAAGCUCCGAUGAAAUCCAGCACCAUUCCUUUAGCGGUCUCCGACAUCUUAACUCCGUCUCUUAAACCUGAUCCGAAAAGCAGCAUCAAUCCCCCGGGGAGGAUCUCCUCAGCUCUAGCGUCUAAUAGAUUCUUGGUGUCGGCUGAGUACUGAUCAAGAUAUGCUUUCUUGACUGCUUCGUUGAAGCCAGUGCAGUGCAUGUCUCUGUUCCACAGAGGAGAGUCUCGGUCGGUGAUCCCUUGGGGAUUUUUUGAGGUGAAAUGGAAAGCAUAACUGAUAACUCCUAUGUGGAAACUAUGUUUAGGGAGAACACGGCCGAAGAAGGAGCCCGGAACACCAGCACUAUAGUAGCGUCUGCCCGCAGGAAGUGCCUGGAAGAGAGUGUUGAAAUCGUUGGUGGUAGAAUCAUUGAAGAGGACUUGGAACUCGAUGUUCUCCGCCGGGUUUUCUCCGGUUGCCUUGCGGUACUUGUCUUCUACUACAUUAAUUAUGUUUUGUACUGCCACAAAAGUGUUAGGUCCACUCGCACAACCAAAAUCCGCAACAAUGAAGCGACCAGAUAUCAUGUCGAGGCUCAGUUUGGCUGAGAUAGCCUCGUUCAUCUUCUCUUUUGCGGCUUCCAACAAUGCUCCCUUCAAAACAAAUUAAAAAAAUGAAUCACGAGAUUGUUACUACACACACAUCGAUAUGAAUUUUUAACGUGUCAAAAUCAUAUUAUCAUAAAUAAACCUGAUACGAUGAGUGUUUGUUGUAACUCUCAGGACCUUCUCCUCCAAUCAUGAUCCAUUGUGGAGUAGUUGCCAUGACCGAUAUCUCUUUUCUUGUUUGAUCCUUGGUAUUUGAUGAGAACUGUGAUGAACUAUGGACGUCUACAUGCAUAUUUAUAUUAUAUUCAUUGUGCUUUCUCCUUGCUUUUUUAUUUAACUUUAUUUUAUUAUUAUGUCUUGUCGUCUCUUCUUGCUUAAACUUAAAAGAGCAUUAUGGGAUUUGAUUUACUACAAUAAUAUAUGAAAAUAACCGAGUGCCCACACUGUACUCGUUUGCGAAUUAUUGAUAAUUUUUUUUUUGUAAACUAAUUAUUGAUAAUUUAGCCAUGUGCUAAUGUGCUCUUUAUUCGUGACUUUUUUGAUAAAACGUAAAUAUCAUUUCAGAAAUAACCAUUUUUUUGCUUCAAAGCCAUGUGCUAAUGUACUCUUUGUUUGUGAAUUUUUGCUAAAAUAAAUAUCAUUUCAAAAAUAAAAAGCUCAGGUUUUACACGAUGUGAUCAACAAAUUAUAAGAUCUCUAAAUUUGAUCCCACAAUAAAAAAGGUAAAAAUCAUGGAAGCAAAAACAACUCAACCUUAAACCGUUCUGCUUUGAAGCAAAAAAAACAACAAAUAACGAUAAAAUCUCGAAUAAUCAGAUGACAGGUUGAACCGAAAUAGAAAAGAAAAGAGAAACCCCAAAGAACACAACGUUAACAAGAAGCUGACUCAUACGGCUGCCUAAACAAAUUACCUUUCCCAGACAAGCAAAAUAAACCAUUCAAGGACUGCCCUUGAGGUCGGAGUUGGAAUAAUAAAGUGAACCCAAGUUCCAGCAAAAGAUCUGACAAUACUCACCAUAUCUCCUAAAUCUCUUAGACAUUAUUUGAGAAUUAAUUUUUUAAGAAAAAUUACUUAUGUGGUAUCACCACAAUUAUUUUCACUAGAAAAAGAUGACAUGUCUUAGUGAAAACGAUGACAUGUUUUAAUUCUUAUUAUGACAUGUCACAUUUUAUUUAUGAAGUUUUACAUUUUUGUCAAAAAAAAAUUUAUUAAAAAAAAGUUUUACAUAUUUAGUAAGAUGCUUUAAAUAUAAUAAUAACUGAUGAGUAUCAACACUAAUGAAAAUUUUAAAUUAACAACAUAAUUAUAAAUAUGUUUUUUACAUUAGCAUAGAAUUGAAAAAUAAAAUUAUGUAAAUGUUUAUAUUUUUCAAAAUUAAUUGUGAAUAUAGUUGAUAUUUUUUGUCAGCAUUUGUUAAUUAAGUUACAUAGUCAACAUGAGUCUGUAAUUCUUUUGCUGUAAAAAAAAAGAGUUAAUUAAUUGUUUGAAUUAUGGUUUAAUUCAUUAAUUGGUAUGAAAAAAUCUAAUCAAAUUAAAAAAAUUAGUAAAUUUAUUUGUAAAUGAUUACCAUAAAAUAUUUCAAUAUUUCAAUUUAUAUGGAAGGUUUUCAUUUAUCCUUAGAAAAUAGUUUCAAUUUUUUUAACAAAUAAGAAAUUUUUUUUAUCUUAACUGUUAUUGUUAAAUAAUAAUGAAAUAGAAGAUAGCAAAAAGAAAAGUUCGAUUCACCCAACUGAGAAGAGUGAUGGGUCGACAAAAAAAACAGAGAAGAGUGAGGCUAGACUUUUUAGUGACAGUUUGUAACGACAAAUUGGUGGUUGUUAAUUAACGUAUUGUUGAAUUUCAAUUUACUUGUGAAAUGCUAUUUAUUGGAGGACGGAACAUCAUAAUGAAGAUGCCGAUAGGCGAUAUAUGGUUAUGAUUACGACUUUAGAGGUGAGGAUGAAAAAGGGGCUGACGUGCUGCAGAUACUAUCUGAUGGUGGAAUAUACAACUUCAAUUUUGAAGACAAGCUCAAAAUCGACUGAGACCGUGAAUUUCUUUUUCUUUUUAUAAUGAAAUCGUCGUUAUUUGUGAACAAUAUUUUUAUAUAUAAUUCAAACUAUUUCAGAGUAUUAGCUUUUAUCUCUUAUAGAGAUAUUAGAACGUAUAUGCAUGGAAAUCUCUAAAAUUAGGCAAAUGCCAUGUUACUGCUCCAUUUUAUUUUAAUACCAUUACACCCCUACAUCUUAACACGUUUAUCCUAUCGUCUACACUGCCUAUGGUGUCAGAAGAUAUUACUAGACCAUCUUAUUUACACAAAAUGUCUUGAAAGGUUUCGAAACCUCUUUAAUUUAUUUUAAAUAUUAAAAAUUUAAUGACAGGAAGAGCAAAUGAAGUUUCAUUUUCCGGAAGCUUCGGCCAGUCCGUGGUGGUGUGAAUCCUCUGAGUUCUGUAAAAAGUUCGAGAUUUGCUUUCUCUUCGCCGGGAGGCCCCUCAGGAUGUCAUUGCAUGAUUUUUCCCAAGUUACAGGCCUUAAUUGCAGCAAGAUUCCGAAGAAAAACAUCAGAAGGAAGAAGAACCCCAUCAUAGAGAAGCAGUAUUGGGAGGAAUUAAUUGCAGGAAGAGUCCACCCGAUGAACUCUUCUUCAAAGGUUAAAUUCUCUCUCCAUAUGUUUUUACGAUGUGGCUCUUCCUCUUGUUCACCUGUAAGUACCAUGUAGACAUUGAUUUCAAGCUCUGUCAUCUUGAUUCCAAACGAUGUGUGGCAAAUCACCAUUCGAAGUUCAUUAAAGAUAACAUACAAGUUAGCAGUUUUGGACAUACUUAGUCGUUACAUUUUAUUUUCUGAUUAGAACCCACAAAAUAGAUAAUGUUAACUGAUGCAUAUUUAGUUAGCUUCUACAAAAUAAGUUAGCGUAACUGUUCGAAGCUACAAAUAUGUACCAUGUGCUUACACAUGUUUGGAUAGUUGCUAUAAAUAGGCAUCAUGUGUUGCCAUUAGCAUCUACAUGUUAAGUUAGAUGUUACAAAAUAUGUUGCGGCUAAUGAAUAACUGGUUGUUAAGAUUUUAUUAAAUAGGUGUUGUUAGUUGAUGUAUUGUUUGUUAGCUACUCUAAAAAUGUUUAAGUUAAAUAAUAUAUGUUUUGUUAGAUGUUACAUUUUAUGUGACUUUUAGUUCACACAUAUUUGGUCAGUGGCUUCAAAAUAUGGUGCAUGUAUGAAGAACUAUAGGAAAGGACAAAGACGUUAUAAGGAUACUUCAAAUUCUUGUCUCCUAGUUGUGAUGAUUAAGAUUUUAUUUUUCAUCUUACAUAUAAUUCUUAGCCACCAUUUUGUCAAUUCUAUGUGUUUAGAUGACCAGUAUGAUGUUCGUCAAAGAUGACAAAUAUGAGAAGAAGUUGGGAGUCACGCCAUCAUAGUGACAAAUAAGAACAUCAAACACAUCGUUUGGCUUUCGUUGGUCCCAAAGGUGGUGGUUAACUUGGAGGCAUCUUGAUAACAUUUAUGUUAGCUAACAUUUUCUUAGUUACUUGUUUUAUCUAUGUGUAAGAAGAUAUUAAUUCAUGCUCAUCUAAAAUAAAAGACUUGAUUUAUGUUAUAUUAUUAGCAUAUAAUAUUAAUACUUAACUAACAAUAUAUUUACUAACACACUUAGAGAUUACAUGCUUUGUAUACAAUCACUAACUCUCACACUUCUCUAGCCUCUCUAGUUUCACUCGGAUGUAUAGUAAUGCAUAACCACUAAUAUUUGAUUUAACAGUUAAGACGAUUGUUAGCCGUUAAUAUCAUAAGUGUAACAAAAUUGGGUUCAUCCUUUGUCAUAUGCCCUUCAGAAGAAAUUACUGACAUUUAACUUUAAUUAUAGACCAGUGACAAAUCGUCAUCAACACAUAUACGUAAAAACUGUAGCCACUAUUGAUCUAAUUAACAAUUACGAUCAUGCGAUAAGUAUGAACAAUGUCAACGAUAAAAUAUAAUGUAACAGAUAACAUGUUAAUUAUACAUACGGAAUAUUAUAACAGGUAACUUUGUUGUUUUCGAUCGUGUGAUGAAUACACUGGUUCACAAGAUGUACAUGAAUCUCUUAAGCUCCUUUGAAAUCACAAAAUAUAAAUGAUCGUCUUUUCCAAUUCGACAUGACUUCUACUGAAACUCUACGACGAGGAUAGACGGUGUAUGAUGACGAUGAUAUAUAAUUAACUUUCUAUGAAAAUAGUAAAAAAAAAAGAUUAUUUGUGGCUGAGAAUCACUUACUAUUAAGAACAGAUAAUGACAGCUACCUAGUAGAAAGCUAGCCGCCUAUUUAGCAAGUGGAGUAAAAGGCAAUAUAGAAAUCUAGGAUUGUACUUGUGCAGAUUACACCGAAUCAAAACAUGCUUGCCUUACGUGUCCGGACUAUAGGGGUAAAAGGGGGAUGGGGGACGCAAAUAUCUACAGUUCUGAAGGGUUUUUUUUGCUUUCGGGUACUUUCUUAAUUUCACACCGAUUUAGGUAUAUUAGUCCAAUUGUCUCUUUAUUAUAUAUAUGUGCUUUAAUGUAGGAAACUUGUAUGUAUUUCUACUUUUUAUAUCAAAAGAUUUUGUCUUGAGAAUCUUCCACACCAGCCUGAUAUUAUUUUUCCAUAACUUUUUCGUGUAGUACAAUAUUGAUGGAGCAUCUCGUCGACACAAAUGCGUGUUAGCUUUUUAUUUUGCUUAGAUGAACCAGAUAAAUAUAAAGAUAUUAAAUUUAUUAAGCUGUAGAAUAAAUAAGCACUAACACGACAACAGUAAGAAGUAACAACAAGAGACAACACACCAUGAGAUGAAAGAACAAGAAUUACAACGAUAAAAACACAAAUUAACUUUGAAAUAUCAUAAAAAUCAAUAAUAUAUUUGGAUCAUCAGUUCUUGCGAAGCACGAUGAGGUACUGCAUUUCUGGUUUGGAAUUUUGGAUGCGAGAAAACUCUUCACGUGCCUUGACCUCGACGAGUUCAAAGGCUUUCCUCAUUGCAUCUGCUCCAAAUUGUGCAGAUAUGAAAGCUCCAAAAGAGGCCUUGGUGGAAACGGCCAAGAUCUUGGGGUCAAGUGGAAACUCACCAUAUGGGUGAAUGAUAUCCUCAAAAGCCUCGAUUGUGAACUUCCCAUUCUCCUUUAUGAUUUGCCUUAACUCGCCUUCUUCUGCAAAGUAGAGUGGUGUGCUGAAAGAGUCAACGGGUAUGGUAGUUAUGUAAUUAUAGUAUUUUAGAUAAUUAACUAGUUUAAGAUGAAAUUAUAUAUAUGUAAUUGAGCAAGAUCGUUAAGAGAAGCUCCGAUGAAAUCCAUCACCAUUCCUUUAGCGGUCUCCGACAUCUUAACCCCGUCCCUUAGACCUGAUCCCAAGAGCAACAUCAAUCCCCCGGGGACGAGCUCCUCAGCUCUAGCGUCUAAUAGAUUCGUGGUGUCGGCCGAGUACUGAUCAAGAUAUGAUUUCUUGACUGCUUCGUCGAAACCAGUGCAAUGCAUGUCUCUGUUCCACAGAGGAGAGUCACGGUCGGUGAUCUCUUUGGGGAUUUUGGAAGUGAAAUGGAAAGCAUAAUUGAUAACUCCUAUGUGGAAACUCUGCUUAGGGAGAACCCGUCCGAAGAAGGAGCCCGGAACACCAGCAGUAUAGUACCUUCUCCCCGCAGGAAGUGCCUGGAAGAGAGUGUUGAAACCAUUGUUGGUAAAGUCAUUGAAGAGGACUUGGAACUCAAUGUCCUCCUCCGGGUUUUGUCCGGUUCCCUUGCGGUACUUGUCUUCUACUGCAUCUAUUAUGUUUUUCACUGCAGCAAAAGUGUUAGGUCCACUUGCGCAACCAAAAUCCGCGACACAAAAGCGAUCAGAAAUCAAGUCGAGGCCGAGUUUGGCAGAGAUAGCCUCGUUCAUUUUUUCUUUUGCGGCUUCCAACAAAGCUCUCUGUGAAAACAUAUUAAAGAAGAGACUGUACAUACAUACAUACACAUGAAAUUCCUGAUUUUUGGAAACCACACACAUAUAUAUAAAAAUAAAUAAACCUGAUACGAUGAAUGUUGAUUGUAACUCUCAGGACCUUCUCCUCCAAUCAUGACCCAUUGUGGAGUAGUUGACAUGAUCGAUAUGUCUUUUUUUCUCCCUUUUCUUACUUGGUUUGAUAGUUGCUAUUUGAUGAGAACUGUGAUGAACUAUGGACGUCUGCAUGCAUAUUAAUACCAUAAUAUAUUAUUUACUUCGAGGCUAUUGAAUUUUUUUUUUCAAGUGUUGAAAGUUUCACGUGAAACUGUUAAAAGAAAAUUAAUAUGAUAUUGAGGGUUUGUAGUUGAAUGUUUUAAAAUGGUAGAAAAAUAAAAGCAUGGUCCACAACAGUGAUAUGUGUUAUAUGCUGAUUGGUUAUUGAAUUUUUUGAUUUUUUAUUCAACCUAUAAUUAUUUCAUAACAAUUAUUUUAUAGUAAAUUAUUUUAUUUCUUUAUUUAUUUUAUAUAAAACUAUUAUUUUGGAUUCUAUAAAUAAAAUUAUUAAAUUGAAAGAAUAUUUAAAUAUCUUUUUAUUAUUAUUUUAGAAUAUUUUUAUAAAAACUAUUUAUUUAAUAAUUUUUAAUAAAAUAUUCAUUUCGCGCCGAGCAUGCUACCUAGUAGAAUGUUAAAAAUAGAAGUCAGGUGUUGAAAAGUAAAACAUUGUAUAUAGCCUAAUAUUAUUAUUUUGUAUUAUAAUAAUAUUAUUUUGUAUGUAUAAUGUUAUUAUUUUAUAAAGGGAAUAAAACGUUGAGGAAAAUACUCUAUUACAACUUUAAUAAUUUAUAUAGUGUGUCACAUGAUUUGAAAAAUUGAUUCAUGCUAAAUACGCCUCCAACCUGAUUUUUUUGUUUUGAAACACCGCCUCCAACCUGAUUAUAAUUCGAAUAUGUGUGUGUGUAAAAUAUAAUUCAUGUUGUGGAUCUGGCGGAGGUAGUGAGACGUUUAUACUAGCGGUACUUUUUAAUGGAGAUUACGUAGCAUAUAAAUGUAUGUGCUAACGACACAUUUAGUGGAGAUUAUGAGUGUAUAAAGACGUUUCUACCAGUUACCUAGGAUAAGAUUUAGAGAGUACAAAGAUGGAUUUAUGUACUAGCAACUUCUAGAGAUAUAAAUAUAUUAUUAUAAGAAAAUGCGGGAUGCAUAGAGUUGUUAAUAUACUAUUAGCAAAUUGAUUGUGUUUGAACGGUGCACUAGGCAUAUUACUUGUUAUAGGACAUGCAUUAAGUAUCGUGUUUGUUUUAUGCUAGACUUACACUUGCAUAGUUGAAAUAGUACAACUGAGUUAGUGGUUUGUGUUUGACAUUCAUUAUUUUGUUUAGUGACUUCGCUGUUACUGAAUUCUUCUUUCUAUUUUCUUUCGGGAUGAGAUUGACGAAUAUAUCAUUGUUCGAAUGAAUUGGUGGUAUCAGACAUUUUUUUCUUUUUUCAUACAUUUGUUUUGAUUUAUCAAACAUUUAUUUCAGUUUUUUUUAUAUUUAUUGGAAUUUUUUGUUAAGCAGACAAUUUUGAGUAAAAAUAAAGUGGUAAUUAAGAAAGUUAAUUAAUUGAAAAACUUUAUAAAAUGAAUAAAAAUACGGGUGUUACAUUGCUAUUUUCUCUGUGAAGCCUCAUUGCUUAUUUGCUUGUAUAAUUUCCCACCUGUUUCCUCCCGCAUGUGUACCUGAGUUAAUAUAGUUUUGAAAACAGAAGGUCGAUUUGAAAACUGGCGGGUGUGGUUUCUUCGCGGUUUAAGCUCGAUUUCGAACGGUUCGGCUCGGUUCGAUUGGGUUAUCAUUUUCUCAGAAACCAAGGGAAGAGAACCGUAAAAUCCCUAAACCAUCGCGUUUUUGCGCCACUUCAUCUUCCUUCAUGGCGUCCGACUCCGCCGGAGCAACAAUCGCCGGCGACUUCCCAAACGACGAUAACGCGGAAGCCCUAAACCUCAAUUCUACAGAACUCUACUCAUCAGCAGUUCCCUCCUCCGUUCCUACACCCUCCCUGAAACCACCGUUCUCUCCUCUCUCAAUCCCUCAAUCAAACCGAAUCCCCAAAACAAACUUUACCGUCGACUUCUUCCGCUCCUCCUCCUCCUCCGUCGCUUUCUUCCUCUCACACUUCCACUCCGACCACUACUCCGGCCUCUCCUCUUCCUGGUCCCGAGGAAUCAUCUUCUGCUCUCACAUAACCGCACGCCUCCUCAAACAAAUCCUCCAAGUCCCGUCGCAGCUCGUCUUCCCUCUACCUACGAAUCAAAAAGUUAUCAUCGAUGGCUCCGAAGUCGUUCUCAUCGACGCGAAUCACUGCCCAGGAGCUGUACAGUUCCUCUUCAAAACCAACGAUGGCUCCGAAAGGUACAUUCACACCGGAGACUUCAGAUUCUGCGAUUCGAUGAGAUCAGAUCCCUUCCUUAGUAGCUUCGUUGGCUGCGACGUCGUUUUUCUCGACACUACUUAUUGCAAUCCGAAGUUCGUUUUCCCCACGCAGCAAGAGUCUGUUGAUUAUGUGAUUAGCGUGAUAGAUAAGAUCGAUGAAGAGUCUAAGCAAAUGAAAAAAAAGGUUUUGUUUCUUGUUGCUACUUACGUUGUUGGUAAAGAGAAGAUUUUAAUUGAGAUUAGUAAGAGAUGCAAUAGGAAGAUCUUUGUGGAGGAGAGGAAGAUGUCGAUUUUGAAUGUAUUGGGGUGUGGAGAGGGUGGAAUGUUCACAGAGGAUAAGGAAGAGAGCGAUGUUCAUGUUGUGGGAUGGAAUGUGUUGGGAGAGACUUGGCCGUAUUUUCGUCCGAAUUUCGUGAAGAUGAAUGAGGUUAUGGUUGAGAGAGGGUAUGAUAAGGUUGUAGGUUUUGUGCCCACGGGGUGGACUUAUGAGGUGAAGAGGAAUAAGUUUGCGGUGAAGGUUAAGGAUUCUAUGGAGAUUCAUCUUGUGCCGUAUAGCGAGCAUUCGAAUUACGAUGAGCUUAGGGAGUACAUAAAGUUGUUGAGGCCUAAACGAGUUAUUCCUACAGUUGGUGUUGAUGUGGAGAAGAUGGAUAGCAGGGAGGUUUAUAAAAUGCAGAAGCAUUUUUCUGGACUGGUUGAUGAGAUGGCGAACAAGAAAGAGUUUUUAUUGGGGUUCUAUCGUCAGUCUGACAAGAAGAGUGAGAAAGAUGGCGUAGAUGUUAGGGAAAAUGAUGCUCCAGGAAGUGAUUCUUUGGUGACUGAAAGAUUGCUGAUAGAACUACGUGAUUCUUUGCCUGCUUGGGUAAGUGAAGAGCAGAUGUUAGAUCUGAUUAAGAAACAUGCUGGUAACCCUGUAGAUAUAGUAAGUAACUUCUAUGAAUGCGAAGCAGAGUUUUACAAGCAAUCCUGUAUUGCCACGUCUUCCUUGGAGAAUCAGGCUGUUUUGAUUGAUGACGAUGGAAUCGACUUGCAGCCAAUUCCUGCUAAGGGCAUUUCGUCAGAUUGUCAAGAAAGUCUAAAAGGUUUUGCCUUACCAAGCAAACUUGGUUUAACAAAGGGUAUUGUUUCUCCGGGGAAAAGAAGCAAAAGCAUUGGCAAUAAGUCAAACAAGAAGGCCAAAAAAGAUCCAAAGUCGAAACCAGUUGGUCCAGGGCAGUCAACCAUAACUAAGUUUUUCGAUAAGGUGUUGGAUAGUGGAUCUAGUUCUGUUGGUGUUGGUUCAGAGACUGAAGAAUGCAAUACAGAUGAAAAGAUGGUCCACAAUGAUGCUAAAGAAACAUACAAAGAAGUAACAGAUCAAUUUAUUGACAUUGUUCACGGUUCUGAGUCUUUAAGAGAGUAUGCUGCUUCCAUCAUUGAUGAGGCUAAAGGAGAUAUAAAUAGGGCACUGGACAUCUAUUACAGUAAACCCAGUGAUGUACCUGGUGAGCAUGCAGGUGAGGGAGGAGGACUCUCUAGCGAAUCAAAUCAGUUAACGCAAUGUCCAGAAGCGUGCUCCUCCCAGGAGAACAUUAAGACGUCAGAAAAAUCAGGGCAUACAUUGAACUUAAGUGAGCAGACAUCAGCAAAAGAAAUGGUGGACAAUGAUUAUGUAUCUCUACCUCCUGAAAAAUAUAAGCCUAAAGAGCAUGGUUGGUGUGUUUAUAUCAUACAUGUUAUUCUUUCCAUCUAUCUUGAGAGCGUGUGUUUGCAACCAAAUUUCUGCAGUUUAGUAGGAUUUUUAGUCAACCUGCUGCAAUUUUUCUAUGCAUCCACACUCAUAUGUUCUUUGUUUUAGUGCAGCUUGUUGGAGGGAUGGACAGCCUACUCCGUAUAUCCACCUUGUCCGGACAUUUGCUUCGGUCGAAGGUGAAAAGGGCAAGAUCAAAGCUAUGUCUAUGCUUUGCAACAUGUUUAGAAGGUGCCUGCUCUUUUUUUUUCGUUUACUCUGUUCAUUAAGCUGAAGCAAUGAUGAUUGCCACUUAUAUUUCUGUAAAACUUCCUCCUAUCAGCGUGUUGGCUCUCUCUCCAGAAGAUGUGCUGCCCUCUGUUUAUCUUUGCACAAAUAAGAUUGCCGCUGACCAUGAGAAUAUUGUUGGUCUAAGUCUCUUAUAUUUUAUACCUUCUCUUGCUAUUUACAUAACCUUAACAAGACUCUUAUGGUCAUGUAUCAAUCGGCAGGAGCUCAACAUUGGUGGAAGUCUGAUCUCUGCUGCAUUGGAAGAAGCAUGUGGAAUAAGUCGGUCUACUAUGAGGGAGAUGUAUAAUAGAUUGGGAGAUCUUGGUAAAGACAAACCUAACGCUCUCACAGAUAACUUAUGGUUAUGUUGUUCCUCUGUACACCCUGCCAAAACGGGUUUUAAUCAAAAUUUCCAGGGGACGUUGCUCAGCUGUGCCGACAAACGCAAAAGCUACUAGUUCCUCCACCUCCACUUCUAGUUAGAGAUGUGUUUUCAACUCUACGAAAGAUAAGGUAUAGAAUUCAACUGGUUAUGUGUUCACCAUAUUAGCUAUUGACCGAGGAUAUACUGUAUAUUUGUGAAGACGACAAUUGAGAAUGUUAAAUGUCCUUGUUCAUUUCUAAUAAACAACUUUAACGUAUAUAUGAAUUCAAAAAUUAUAUACCGAUAAUAACAUUUCCACUCUUAAUAAGUUCUAUUUGAAACACAACAAUGUCAUUCCAGCAAGCUCCUAAUAGUUUUCCUCAGUGUGCAGUCAGGUACUGGAAGUACUAGGCAAAAGAAAAACCUCAUCGUGAAGCUAAUGCGCUCUUGUAGAGAGAAAGAGAUCAAAUUUCUAGUUAGAACAUUGGUAAGAAUAUGUUUUCCCUUAUAUUAUUCUCAGCUUCCAUGUUUUAAGCAACUAUAUUCCUGGUCAGGCCCGUAAUUUAAGGAUUGGCGCUAUGUUGAGAAUUGUUCUACCUGCACUAGGGCGAGCAAUUGUUAUGAAUUCUUUCUGGAAUUGCCAUAACAAAGAACCAUCAGAAAAUUGGUUCAAAGAGAAACUUGAGGUAUCAUUUAAUUUUCUUCUUAGUUCAAAAGUGUUUUCUUGGCACUUAUCUAAGCAAGUAUGCUCAAAAGAUUAUAUCUAAAGAUUUAAAUGCUCAUCUUGUUAAGAGGCAAAUUCAAAAUUUCAGGGUGUUUCUGCUGCAGUAGUUGAGGCCUACAAUAUACUUCCUUCUCUGGUGAGCUCUAAGUGUUAACCUUUGUCUCUGACUCGCUUUGCCAAUUUGCACGCGAAAUAACUUAUUUGUAUUGCACUAAAAUGCGAUUACCAAUUUAGGAUGUAAUUAAACAAGAAUUAGGGGAAAAGCCAAGAAUCUAUAAUUUUUUGUUCCACCUGUUUGCAGCCUUCAAAAGAUUUGUGAUUUGUCCUACUCAGUAUACUUACCAGAUUUUUCAAAUGGAGACAUCAGUUUCAAUAUAAUAGUUGCUUUUAACAGGACGUGGUUGUUCCUUCUCUCAUGGAAAAAGACAUUGAGUUUUCAACAUCAACUCUGACAAUGAUCCCAGGGAUACCAAUAAAACCCAUGCUUGCAAAGUAAUUAUACAAAUCUUUGUGAUACAUUUGUUUUCAAGAUAACGACCAAAGCUGUUGAUGUCAUGCCUUUAAUAAUUGUGGUGCUUUUUUCAUUGCAGAAUUGCUAACGGGGUUCAAGAUUUUAUCAAGCUCUUCCAAGACAAGGCUUUUACAUGUGAAUACAAGUUAGUUUGUCUCAAGAACGUUUCUUAAACUACUCGAAACUGAUAACUGAUGAGUUUCUGAUUAUUAAUGGAAUGUCUGUUUCUUUGAAUUCAACCCAUGAAUUUUUGGUUUUCACUAUGUUGAUUUACGUCACUCUUCUAUGUUCCCUGAAAUAGGUCUACAAUUUAACUUUCAGGUAUGAUGGCCAGCGCGCCCAGAUCCAUUUGUUACUUGAUGGUACAGUGCGGAUUUUCUCUCGAAAUGGGGAUGAAACUACUUCCAAAUUUCCUGAUCUGGUUGAUGUUAUAAAACAGUUUGCUUGCCCUGCUGCUGAGACGUUCAUGUUGGACGCAGAGGUAGGAGAAAUAAGGACGCAGACAUUCAUGAUGGCCGGCUUGCAAAAAAAAAGAAAAAACAGUAAAUGUUUUAUCAUAAGUUCUCUUGGUAUUACAUAGUGUAAUGGCUUUUUUUUUAUGAAAUUCAGGUUGUUGCAACUGAUAGAAAGAAUGGUAACCAACUCAUGUCAUUCCAAGAGUUAUCAACAAGAGAGAGAGGGAGCAAAGAUGCUUUGGUAAUUACAAAAAGUAUUAAGGUAUUGAAUACAAUAUCCGUACGACCUUAUUUCUACAGUUACAUGGUAAUCAGCAUUUCUAUUGAGAAAUUCAGCUCUGUAAAUUUUAUAUAUAAAACAUGUUCUGUAACCUUUGUUCCUUGUUGAUAUCAUGUUUUUAUAAAUAAAAAAAAUUUGCUUGGACAUAGGGACGUUUCACUUAAUCUACUUUCGUUAUUGAAUGUUUGCAUGGAAGCCCAGCAUCUACAUACAUGCUAAUCUAGUUUUUAAUUAAAGCUGAAUGAAAAAUUGGUUGCUGUUUUUUUCUUCAGUAUGAUUGACGCUUUCCUCUUGAUUUUUUUUUCUUUUUCUUUCUUGUGUACUCUUUGAAGAUAAACAAGCUUGACCUUUUUUUCUUUCUUUUUAGUUUCUCAUGAUUUUCUUCUUACGCUUAUUCUAAUGCCUUUCUGCAGGUUGAAGUCUGCAUCUUUGUGUUUGAUAUUAUGUUCUUCAACGGUGAACAGUAUGUGUCUUUUAUACUCAAUGCUUUUUUUGUCCCUCUGCAUUUCUCCUAGUGGAUUAUAUGUUGAUUCGUAAUUUCCGGAGUUAACAAUGCAGGCUGUUGACUCUUCCCCUCCGUGAGAGACGAAAAUGUAAACCUUACCUCUUUCUCUUUUUCUCCCUUAACUCAGAUGCGUCAUUUUCUUCAUCAGGUUCAUAUAUUCCCAAACUUUUAGGUCUAAAGGAGGUCUUCCCUGAGACUAGGCCAGGUUUUCUCGAAUAUGCUAAGGAAAUCACUGUAAGUGCUACAGUAGCUUAUGGCUUAUAAGUCAUAAAACAUAGUAAAUCAGUGCUUUGAUAUAUUCGUUGAAACUGUUCAUUGUUUAUUAGGUGGGAACAGAAGAAGCUUCUAUGAAUAACCAAGACACUUUGUGUAGAAUAAAUGCGUUUCUAGGAGAAGCAUUUCAGUCAUCUUGUGAGGGAAUCAUGGUUAAGUCUUUAGAUGUUGAUGCCGGAUACUGCCCCACAAAGCGUUCUGAUUCAUGGCUUAAGGUCUCGUGCUGUAAACUAUCUUAUCAAAGAUAAAUGUGCCGGAAAUGGAUUAAAUGGUGCUAAAAUUUUCUGGUCCAGGUGAAGCGAGAUUAUGUUGAUGGAUUAGGUGACACAUUGGAUUUAGUUCCUAUAGGUGCUUGGCAUGGCAACGGGAGAAAAGCCGGAUGGUAAUAAAACAUGUGUUCUUUUUUUUUUUUUUUUUGGAACUAUAAAACAUGUGUUCUUAACUUUCUCUUUUUUCUUGAAAAUGAAAAAUGUGUGAAUCAGCCUUGUAUCUUUGAAGCUGAAUUGUAAACUUAAUGUUAUUUUGUAUGUGUAGGUAUAGUCCAUUCCUCAUGGCCUGCUACAACCCUGAGACUGAGGAAUUCCAGAGUGUCUGCCGUGUCAUGUCUGGGUUUUCUGAUGCCUUUUACGUCGAGGUAAUUAAAAGCUCAGCAACUCUUUCACUCUUCUCCACCAUUCCAUCUUCAAUAUCAAUUUAACAUUGUGGCUAAGUGUACACAUUCCAGUUAAUGGUUCAGUUUUAUUAGAUUUGUAAAAGCUGAAACCAAUACCAACCAUUUGUAAUUCGGUCUUGCAAAGUAUCUAUGAUCAUAUCUAUAUAUUAUUUGCUUUUCUUGCAGAUGAAAGAAUUCUACUCCGAGGAUAAGAUCCUCGCGAAAAAGCCGCCAUACUACAGAACAGGGGAGACACCAGACAUGUGGUUUCCCGCAGAGGUUGUCUGGGAAAUCAAAGGUGCGGAUCUAACCGUCUCACCUGUACACAGUGCGGCUUUAGGUCUGGUCCAUCCAUCACGAGGCAUCUCCGUUAGGUUUCCAAGAUUCAUCUGUAAAAGGGCGGAUAGGGAUCCGGAGGAAUGCAGCACGGCGGCAGAUAUAGCAGAGAUGUUUCAUGCUCAAACCAGAAAAAUGAACAUCAAGUCUCAACACUAACAUUGUAUCUUAUCUGAUCAGCUACUUACCUUUUGGUUCUGUUAGGAGUUUACACAAAAUGUUUUUGUGUUGCUUUUAAUAGCUUGGUAAACUUAGAAUGUGUAAAAAAUAUCUACCUAAAACUAUGUAAAUAUUCUGUAUAUAUAAUCUAUCUGCAUGUUAAUUUUUGUGUUUCCUGUUUGAUAUCACUGGGUCUGAUUGCUAAAACUUCACAGGUCAUAGCAGUGCAAUUUUGUAGGUGUUAAAUAGCCCUCACAAUUGUUAGGAAGAUUGAAUUUGUUUGUCAUUAGACCAUAGGUUUUGCAAGAUUAAUGAAAAUAUGGCGGUAAUGACUGUUGAAAGUCUCAGUUUCGUUUUUCAUUUUCCCUCCUCGAUAAAGAACACCUCCCGCCAAAUCAGAAAACCGGUGAUAGCCGGUUACUUUUCCUAACGGCGACCGGUCAUAAGAACAACACUCGUGAACAUCGAAUCCAUUUCCUUCCUUGCAUCAACUCGAGGUUUGCUCGUUGAUUGUUUCCUUCGAAAACCCUAACUUUCUUACCUUGAUUGAUUCUAAGCGUUUCCGCCUGAUUCGCGAAAGAGUACCAACUUAAACUUUCUCGGGACUUUGAAUGAAGUUUUAUUAGAAGCUAGGGUUCUUUUGAGUUGUUUUGUUUUCUCGAUUUUGAGGAAAAAUGAGUGCGAUCAAUAUCACCAACGUCAGCGUAUUGGAUAACCCAGCGCCAUUUGUGAGCCCUUUUCAGUUCGAGAUUUCCUACGAGUGCUUGACUUCUCUCCAAGACGGUAACCUCCACUUGUUGUCUUAUUAGUUUGAAUUGGAUCUAUCCUGAAGUUCUUGAAUAACAUAGUUAUGUUGGUGAGACUAAUCUACCAGAUGUUGAAAGUUAGACUCUUUCGAGAGUUUCUUCCCCAAUAGUUGUUCUCAGGAUAGAUGUUUUACCUAGACUAGUGGUUUCAUCUGGCUUUAGAUUUUUGGAAGUGUUUGUUUGUAAAUGUGUUUGAACUUUGGCUUUGUACACUAUGAUAAAAAAAAAGAUAAUACAUUUUUCAGCAUUUAUGGAUAUUGGAUUUUCCUGGAAUAUAGUAUAACCUGAUAAGAUAGAUACCUUGCUAGUUUUAAUCUUCUUCUUUUCAGCAAGUGCAAUAUAAAGAAAAACGAUUUUGUUCACUUAGUCCCAUGCUUUUGUGUUGGUACAGAUUUGGAAUGGAAACUUGUCUACGUAGGCUCAGCAGAAGAUGAGACUUAUGAUCAAACUCUAGAGAGUGUGCUUGUAGGGCCUGUUAACGUUGGCAACUACCGAUUUGUCUUGCAGGUAAACUAACCACAUAUUCUUUUUUUCUUUUUUUUCUUACACUCCCUCACUUCAAUAGCAACAGAGUUUUGAUCCAACACUCCAUUUUACUUUACAGGCUGAUCCUCCAGAUCCAUCAAAGAUCCGGGAGGAAGACAUCAUCGGUGUCACUGUGCUGCUGUUGACAUGUUCGUACAUGGGUCAAGAAUUCUUGAGAGUUGGAUAUUACGUGAACAAUGACUAUGAAGAUGAGCAACUCAGGGAAGAGCCUCCAACCAAGGUUUUGCUCGAUAAAGUCCAGAGGAAUAUACUCUCUGACAAACCUAGAGUCACUAAAUUCCCUAUCAAUUUUCAUCCAGAAGACGAGCAGACUCCUGCUGCUGCAGAUCCUCCUCCUCCUACUGAACAAUCUGAUGAUCAACAACAAGCUGAUGACAAUUGUGAUGAAGCUCAAGUUUUGCCUGAACAGCCACCAAUACCCCAUGAAUCAUGAUUCUUCCUUAAGCCGAGGUCUAGUUGGAUGAGAACUAUCAUCUGCAAGAUCUUUUCAUUUUGUUAAAUUUUAUCACAAAACAUUAUCUGAAGGUGUUGUCUUGUUUGUAGAUGGCUUUAGGGAAGUGGUUCCUGACAUGUUUGAAUGUUUUGGGCAAAUAUUUAAUCAAAGCAAAACAAUAAGUUCCUCCCAAAUCAAGAAAAAGUUUGAACAUUCACAAUUUGUUUGUUAUAUUAUGUACGAUGGUAACAUGAGCCAUUCUGAGUCCGUUCCAUAACGGAGUUAACAGUGGCUGUCCCUCGGCAUUUAGUUUUUCAUUAUAUGAAUUAACCAACUGUAAUACGGGUUGUUUCUGAUAGUAUCAGAAUUAUGAGAUACAUUUCAUAAAAUACUAAAACUAUAAGGCUAAAACUGUAAAUAAAACCAACGAAUCAAAGUGCUUACUUAACUAGCCCUUCCUUCCCUCAUAGCGUUAACAGUAAACCGGAGGAAAAAAAAAGACAAGCCGAUGUCGAAAUCCGGCGGAAACCAACCCGUAGAUCGAUACCUAAGACGUCAAGUGCUCGGAGAAGGAACAUACGGUGUCGUUUACAAAGCCACCGACACCAAGGUCAUUCAAUCAACUCAAUCCAAUCCCUUCCCCAAUUCGAUUUCAAUUCGAAUUCCUUAUGUUGUUCGAUUUUUCUGCAUAUAGACAGGUAAGACUGUCGCGGUGAAGAAGAUUAGGUUAGGAAACCAGAAAGAAGGAGUCAAUUUCACAGCCCUUAGGGAGAUCAAGCUCCUAAAAGAGCUGAACCAUCCGCACAUCGUCGAGCUCAUCGACGCGUUUCCUCACGAUGGAAGCUUGCAUCUCGUCUUCGAGUAUAUGCAGACGGAUUUGGAGGCUGUGAUUCGUGACCGUAACAUUUUUCUUUCUCCUGGUGAUAUCAAGUCUUAUAUGUUGAUGACUCUUAAGGGUUUAGCUUAUUGUCACAAGAAAUGGGUUCUGCACAGGUAAAAUCUAAAACUAUUCCUUCUUUCUUUUUGAGCUUUUAGGUUGGAUCUUGAUUUGUUUUGACAUUUGUUUAGGGAUAUGAAGCCUAAUAAUCUACUGAUUGGAGAGAAUGGUCUGUUGAAAUUAGCUGAUUUUGGCUUGGCGAGAGUGUUUGGGAGUCCGAAUCGGAGGUUUACUCAUCAGGUAUUUGCUUACUCGUCGAUUGAUACUUAGCUCGAUGUUUUUUUUGUGUUUUGAAAUGGCUGCUUAGGAAUUGAAUAAUAGAUCUCUUUGGCACCUCUUGAUGAUCAUCAACCUGAUACAUAGUGUUGAGCAGACAUGAUGAGUAUUUGAUUCCCGUUAUUGCAAAGCACAUUGAGUCCCAGAUACUGUUUUGUUAUUUACGGACGUAUUGACAUUUUAUACUCUUGAAGAUUUUGUAGACUUGGAUCUUAUUGGUUUGAGGUGGCAGCUAGACUAUUAAUCUAGAAUUUGUAAUUAGUAUGUUGUCAUCUCGUGUUGAUUUGUUGAAAGUGUUGUUGGGAACUACGGAUACUUGAUAUAGAGCAUUGAGAAAGACAUCGUAUGUUUUUAAUUCUGGUUCGUGCGUACUUAUUUUUUUCGGUUUUGGUGAGGUGAAAGAUUGGUGGUUACCUGACACUAGAUACCCAGAUGAUGCUGAGAUUGAGUGGUUGUGUAAAUAUAUUAUUUGGUUUUGUAUCUGCUUGUUCACAAUAGAAGACUCGUAAAUAAAAGAAUGUACGUAUUGAAACAGGUGUUUGCAACUUGGUACAGAGCCCCUGAGUUGCUGUUUGGGAGUAGACAGUACGGAGCAGGAGUUGAUGUCUGGGCUGCAGGCUGUAUCUUCGCUGAGCUAUUACUUCGUAGACCCUUCCUACCUGUAAUCUUCUAUAUUUUGUCUCAAAUGAUCUUUACUCGUCAAUACUUCAGGAUUUUAUUUUUUUAUUUAUAUAUAACUUCAUUGCUUUGCUUUCUUCAGGGUUCUUCUGAGAUCGAUCAACUGGGAAAGAUCUUUCAAGCUUUUGGAACUCCAACACAAUCCCAAUGGUCCGACAUGAUCUACCUCCCGGAGUACAUGGAGUUCUCCUACACACCAGCUCCACCACUACGUACCAUUUUCCCUAUGGCGAGCGAUGACGCUUUGGAUCUUCUAUCCAAAAUGUUCAUCUACGACCCACGCCAACGGAUCACCAUACAGCAAGCUUUGGACCACAGGUUAUAUACAUUGUCUUGAAAAUAAAACUCACAUGACAAUAAUUUCCAUUUCAUCUCUGAUAUCUUCAUUUUUUUAUUUGGUCAGGUAUUUCUCGUCUUCUCCAUCACCAACUGAGCCAGGGAAGCUUCAGAUUCCAGCUUCGAAAGGAGACGCCCUCGAACCAAAGGCAUCUGAGCAAAACAACCAACACGGAAACAGCCCGGCCGUGCUAUCACCUCCUGGAAAAAUGAGGAGAGUGAUGGGUCCUGAGGGAUAAUACCUGAGGGUCUUCGUUUGUGGUAGUAUAUACAAUCAAUAGCUUUGAUUGGACUUUUUGCAGUAACUCUAGCAUUGGAGUUUUGUAAUGCCUUUUUCUGCAAAUUAGUUACCAGUCAAAACUUAUCAGAAAGAACAAAAGGCAAAAUGAAAGAGAAACAAUCACUCAUUUGGAAAUUUAGAUGAAAAGCAAGUCCAAUCACAAAGAAACAAUCCUAUAGUGGCCUUUGUUUCUGAUUAGGUUUUCCAAGUAGUCAAGGGUAAGAGUUGGGGAAAUUUGUAACAUCUCCAACUAAGACCUCACUUCCUUUUGUUUUUGAAACAAAAGGGAAAAGCCCAUUAAAAGUAAAACCCAUUAAGUUAAAUUUAGGAUUCUUCUCUUUUCUAUGCAAAAAAAUAUACUAAAAUUUUACAAAAAUUCAAAACCCAAAAACCCUAGCCGUCAGACAUCUUUCUUCUUUUCUUUAUCUUUCUUUGUGCCAAGCCGUCACCUUGUUAGGUCGUUGCUCGUCGCUUUCCAGACCACUGCGGAUUGUCGCGAUUGUUCUCUUCUCCACUGUCUUCCGUUGUUGUUCAUCAGAUCUGAAAAAUAAGCAUUUAUUUUUCUUCUCUCUAUUCUUCUUCUCUCUAUUCUUCUUUUCUUAUUUUCUGUUGAGAAUGAGAGUACAUAUCUGAUUCGUGACAUCGAAUAAAGCCAAGGUGAGAACACGACUGUUAACUCUUUUCAUGUCUCGUAAUACUUUGGGGCGUUAUCCCUUAUAAAUACUCCCUCUGUUCCUAAAAGAUCUAUGUUUUGGAAAAAUAUUUUGUUUUAAAAAGAUGUAUAUUUUAUGUUUUCUAUGAGAAAAUUGCAAACUUUAAGAAAAUUAAUUGAUUUUAUUAGAUUACUAUUAGCUAAAAGUUGUUGAAAGUUGAAAAUUACAGAAAACGAUAAAUUUACUAUAGUGAUUUAAUGCAUUUUCUUAAUAUGUAUGAAAACACUAAAAAGUCUAUCUUUUAGAAAUGGAGGGAGUAUUGUCUAGGUUUGAUUGUUGAUCUUAUUGAUGUGAUGAAUUGUUAGAUCAAGUUGUUGACUUGUGUUGAAAUUAUGGAAAACAACUAGUUGUGUAAGGUUGUUAAAUGGUAAACCAGUUGUGUGUUGAGAAAGAAUGAGAUGAUAGAUGUGUGAUAAGAAUUACAAUAAUAUUAUUUGAGAAGUCAAUUUUUUAGAUAUCACAUUCACAUUAAUUCUUACGAUGGUUAAUUACAUAGAUACACUUAACAAGUUAAAAUAUUAUAUCUAAUUACCAUUAUUAAAAACUAUGUAAUAACUUAUGCCAAUUAAAUUUUUAUUUUUAUAUUUUUCCAAAUAAAAUAAAAUUAAAUAGUUUUAUUUAAUAAAAAGGAAAUAGUCAUAUAAUAAAAAAAUAUAUUUACAAAAAUGAAAGAAAAUAUAUUUUAUAUAAUGUGAUUUCGUAAAAAGAAAAGUUCACAUAAAAUAGUUUUGAUGUUAAAAAUAUAAUCAUCACUUUAAAACACAAUAUUAAAAAAAAUUGAAAUUAAUAAAAUAUUUUAUUUAUAUCAAUCUAUUUUCUCAGAUUUGAAAAAGUCAAUUAAAAUAAAAUAUCAUUGCUUAACUAUAAAUAUUUUAUAAUUGCUACUAUUGAAAUGUUUAUUCAUUUUUCAUAAUUUUUUUUAUUUUUUUUUUAUUUACAUUUUCAAUAUAAAUUUUAUCAAACUACAUAACUAAAUAUAUACAAACUUUAUCCAAUCCUAAUCUACCACUAAAACUGUUUGAAGGCUUCGUAUUUUUAUUUUGGUUUUUAAAAUUUUAUAUAUUUAUACAACAUAAUUUACCUAUAAUAAAAUACAUAAACCAAUAUGAAUUUUAUGGUUAAGAUUAUUUAAAAUAUUUUUUAAAUUUAUAUAUUAUUAUUCUAAAGUAUAAAAUUAUUUAGAAUUUACAACAAAAAAAACAUUUUAUAAAUAUUAAUAUAUGUUCAUAAGUUUUCAAAAUAAUAUCAGUAAUGUUUGUUAUAAAACAUCAUACUUAUCCUCAUUUCAGUUUUUCUUCUAUUUUUACAAAUCCACAAAUAUCAAUUAUAUAAAAUAAUUUACGAAAUUAUAUAUAUAUAUAUAUACAUACAUAUUUACGAUAAAAACUGAACUAGUGAAAUAAAUAAAAUUAAUCAAAUUUAGUUUAUAACUAGAAUCAAAAGUAAUGGUGCUUUCAUUUGAAGAAAUGUGUUUAACACAAUAUAACCUACAAAAUGAGUAAUUUAAACAAUCUAAAUUUUUAUGCACAAAUCAAAAGUCUAAAUGCAAAAAAAAAAAAAAAUUAAUUAAUCAAAAUUUAAAGCUAUUUCAGUACAAAAAUAAUAUUAUGGUUAAAGUUAGAGAAGUAAAUACGAUACAAUAUACCCAAAAAAUAAUCAAAUCGAUUAGAUAUUAUAUAUUUAAUUACAUAUCUAGAUAAAAUAAUAUAAUAUUAUUUAAAAUAAAUCAUACAUAUAAAUUACAAAAUAAUAAAAAUUAAAAAUUAGAUUAUGAAUUAUUUUAUAAUUUAUUUAUGAUGUAAGUAAGUGCAUGAUUUAUGUUUAAAUUGCGGGUUCAAAAGUAUUAAACCAAAUCUAGUUUUUUCUUCAUCUGAAUUCCUAAUUUUGACUUAAUCAAUAUCAUUAAAACAAUGUUUGAAUGCUGUGCCCAUGCAAACGACAGUCUGCAAUGAGCUAUAUGGUUUAUGAAUAGAACGCAUCAAUUCGCCACUUAAGCGGUGAUGCAGAAGAAGUACAUAAAUAGCUAUAUUUUUUUUGUUUAAUUUCUUUUGCAUGUUCCGUGACCAGUUCUGUAUUUCUCUACUGAUUAUUCGAUCCAUCAGUUUGUAUCUGACUUUCUCUGUAAAUAUUAUCAACAAAAAAAAAAGGUUUGCUCAGACGAUGGAAAGCGGUUUCUCGUUGGCGGAGAGAGAAGAAGUAGAAGAUAACAAAAAUGAGAAAUCUGCAGGGACAAUGAUGAAGAAAGUGAGUUACAUGGCUGCUCCAAUGGUGGCAGUUUAUCUUUCUCAGUAUCUCCUUCAAGUUAUCUCCAUGAUUAUGGCCGGUCACUUGGACGAGCUCUCUCUCUCCAGCGUCGCUAUUGCCACUUCUCUUACCAACGUCACUGGCUUCAGCCUCCUCGUAAGAUAUUCCUCUCUGUGUUCCUGCAUCUCUCUCACUCUUUCUCUCUCUCUAACUUGACUUCAGGGCUGGAUCUGGACAUAGUCCAGGGAAGCAUUGGCUUUGGUCCCUAAAAUUUUUUGUAUAGACAUAAGUUUUAAAGAAAUAUUUAUAGCCUUCAAAAAUCACAUAUCUGGCCUUGCUUGACUUCGAUCAUUAGGUAGGAUUUUCAGGUGCUUUAGAGACAUUGUGUGGUCAAGCUUUUGGAGCAGAGCAGUUUAGAAAGAUUGGUUCAUACACUUACAGCUCAAUGAUAUGUCUUGUCUUGAUUUGUUUCCCAAUCUCUCUUCUUUGGGUUUACAUGGACAAACUCUUGGAGCUUUUCCACCAAGAUCCUCUCAUCUCUGAGUUAGCUUGUAGAUACUCCAUCUGGCUCAUACCGGCUUUAUUCGGAUGCGCUCUUCUUCAGCCUAUGACUCGCUAUUUCCAGUCACAAGGAUUGGUUCUUCCUCUCUUCUUGAGCUCUUUCGGAACUCUCUGUUUUCACAUUCCCCUUUGUUGGCUUCUUGUCUAUAAACUGAGAUUUGGAAUCGUCGGCGCCGCUUUGUCCAUCGGUUUUUCGCUUUGGUUAAACGUAGCUUUGCUCUGGGUUUUUAUGAGAGACUCUGCUCUGUAUCGCGAAACUAGUAAUCUUCAGGUGGAAGAAAUCUUCUCGAGCAUGAAGCAGUUCAUCUCUCUUGCGAUUCCCACUGCAAUGAUGACUUGGUAACUAUGUUUUCUCUGUUUCUUGAUUCUGAUUUUCAACUGAUGCUUAAUUCUUGUAUCUCUUUUGGGGUGUAAUUAAAGCCUAGAAUGGUGGUCAUUUGAGCUUCUGUUACUAUUGUCUGGACUCUUACCCAACUCAAAACUUGAAACAUCGGUGAUGUCCAUAUGGUAUGUGCAUAUAUCCCUUUGUAUAAUAUUAUACAGAUGACCACAGGUCAUUAACUCAACUAGAAAGGAACAAUGACUAUUGUAUCAGAGAUCCAAAGUUCCAGUGAAACUAAUAUUACAUGAUGUGGUUUCCACCUGAAGAAUUACGGUUUCGACCUAAAAUAUUUAUAUAUAUACAAAUGACCAUUGUUUAAAUAUUUAACUAAUAUGUGCAACUUUAGUACUUUACUCACUUUAUGUCUUCCUUGAACAGCCUCACAACUUCACUUCUGCAUUAUGUUUUCGUGGAUGCAAUAGGUGCAGCCGCAAGGUAUAGUAACAUUACCAAUUGUUCAUAAGAAUAUAAUUCUUUAUGAAAAUUCUUCUUAACCAUUGUCUUGUUUAUAUAGCACACAUGUCUCAAACGAGCUAGGAGCUGGAAACCCUAAGGCAGCUCGAGCAGCGGCUAAUGCUGCACUUUACCUUGGCGCUUUUGAUGCUUCCUUUGUAUGCAUCACUCUUUACAGUUAUCGAAAACAAUGGGCCUAUAUCUUUAGCAAUGAGGAAGAGGUCGCUAACUAUGCAACAGAAAUAACACCGAUUCUCUGCCUAUCAAUUUUUGUCUGCAGCUUUACCUCCGUGCUCUCAGGUAAGCAAAAGUCAUAUCAAAUGGAAAAACCAUAUGCUGAAAUGAUAGCUUUUGUGAUUGUAUUUGUUACUUGAAAGCCAAGAAACUAAACGUAUAUGUUCUUCGCGAACACUGCAAUUCAUCAUUAACCUUAGGGAUUGCUAGAGGAGUAGGGUGGCAAAGUAUAGCAGGAUAUGCAAGCAUAGGAUCAUAUUAUCUAGUUGGUAUACCGGUUGGUUCAAUCUUAUGUUUUGUUGCGAAAUUGAGAGGAAGAGGACUUUGGAUUGGUAUUUUGAUAGGCUGCUUUGUCCAAACGAUGGUUCUUGCUAAUGUCACUUUUUUCACCAAUUGGGAGCAAGAGGUUUGUAUACCUUUCCUUCUCUAGUUACUUAUCUUCAUCAUUCUCUUAUAAUUAAAGUUAAUUUUUUCUCCAUUGGGCUCCAGGCAACAAAGGUGAGAGACAGAGUACUGGAGAUGACACCAAAAGGAAAUGACGAAACAGAAGUCAUAAAAGAGGAUGCGCAAGUUUUACUAAGUGACAUUUCAGAAAAUGUGUAACCCCAUUUGCAUUUGUUUCUAGUUCACAGAAGCAUUUGUUUAUGAAUCAAAUUAGAAUAUGUUUCUUCAACUGACUAUCGACAAGAGAUUAAAUGAUAAACUGGAAUCUGGGACAAUAAACAUAAAGGAGUGUUAGACAACUUCGGCUCAUAAAUGUUUCUCAUUUUGAUUGCCUCAAAUCUUCCUUAUAUGUACCUGUUCUAGACAAGUAUAUAUAUCAUCUAUGGAGAGAAACACAACAUUGACCUUGAAAAAACCUUGAUAUUUGAAAAAAUUAGACGUAAAAGCAAGUCCAAGCACAAACAAACAGUCUUAUAGUGAUAUUUGCUUCGAACUAGGGUUUGCAGGUAGUCAAGGCUAGAUAGGUGAUAACUGGUAAACCUUAAGUUACUUGAAAAUCAAGAAACAUCUCUGACCCAAAAAGGCUGGAAUAAUGGUGACUGGAAAGAAGACUUUAUAUUUUAAUAAGUCAGGUUUGUAUCAACUGUCCGACAAUAACUGAGAUUCUACUAAGCGUUCUAGUAUUAUAUUCAGACCACUAGGGUCUUUGUUUAAUUUUGUUUUGCAUGUUCUGUAUUUCUCUACUGAUUAUUCGAUCCAUCAGUUUGUAUUGACUUUCCCUGUAACCAUUAUCAACAACAAAAUAAAAAAGUUUGCUCGGACGAUGGAAAGCGGUUUCUCCUUGGCACAGAGAGAAGAAGGAAAUUACAAAAAUGAGAAAUCUGCAGGGAUGAUGAUGAAGAAAGUGAGCUACAUGGCUGCUCCAAUGGUGGCAGUUUCUGUUUCUACGUAUCUCCUUCAAGUUAUCUCCAUGGUUAUGGUCGGUCACUUAGACGAGCUCUCUCUCUCCAGCGUCGCCAUCGCCACUUCUCUUACCAACGUCACUGGCUUCAGCCUCCUCGUAAGAUAUUCCUCUCUCUUUCUCUUUUUCAUCUAACUUGACUAUAGGCCCGGAUCUCGGCAUAACCGAGAGAAACAUUGGUCUUGACUGACAAUUUUUUUAAGUUUUUUACAUAGAUAGAUGCUCCCAAAUAAUGAAACAAAAAAAAAUUAUUAAGAUUUUUAAAAAUGUUUAUUACCCUCAAAAUUUUAUAUCCAGCUUUGCUUGACUUCCGAUCAGUAGGUUGGGUUUUCAGGUGCGUUAGAGACAUUGUGUGGUCAAGCUUUUGGAGCAGAGCAAUACAGAAAGAUUGGUUCAUACACUUACAGCUCAAUGAUAUGUCUUGUCUUGAUUUGUUUCCCAAUCUCUCUUCUUUGGGUUAACAUGGACAAACUCUUCGAGCUUUUCCACCAAGAUCCUUUCAUCUCUGAGUUAGCUUGUAGAUACUCCAUCUGGCUCAUACCGGCUUUAUUCGGAUGCGCUCUUCUUCAGCCUAUGACUCGCUAUUUCCAGUCACAAGGAUUGGUUCUUCCUCUCUUCUUGAGCUCUUUUGGAGCUCUCUGUUUCCACAUUCCCUUUUGUUGGCUUCUUAUCUAUAAACUUAGAUAUGGAAUCGUUGGUGCCGCUUUGUCCAUCGGUGUUUCGCUUUGGUUAAACGUAGCUGUGCUUUGGGUUUUUAUGAGAGACUCUGCUCUGUAUCGUGAAACUAGGAAUCUUGAGCUGCAAGAAAUCUUCUCGAGCAUGAAGCAGUUCAUCUCUCUAGCGAUUCCCUCUGCAAUGAUGAUUUGGUAACUAAGUUUUCUCUGUUUCUUGAUUCUGAUUUUCAACUGAUGCUUAAUUCUUGUAUCUCUUUUGGGGUGUAAUUAAAGCCUAGAAUGGUGGUCAUUUGAGCUUCUGCUACUAUUGUCUGGACUCUUACCCAACUCAAAACUCGAAACAUCGGUGAUGUCCAUAUGGUAUGUGCAUAUAUCCCUUUGUAUAUAUUAUACAAAUGAUCCAUAUGUCACUUACAUUAAUGAUCCAAAAAUAUGUGAUUAGAUCCAAGAUAAAUGAACGAAAGAUGCAUUAUUUAAAAAUUCGUGUUAGGAUAUCCAAGAUCUAAUACUACAUCGGCUAAAAUGCAUCAUUUGUUACAAUUUAAAUUUUCAAUAACGUUUAACCAGUAAUAAUUCAAUUAAUAUUUUAAGUUUACAAUUUCUUUAUAGAAAACAUACAUUUUUUAAUUAAUAUGUCUCCUUGAGCAGCCUCACAACUUCUGGUCUGCAUUACGUUUUAGUGGAUGCAAUAGGUGCAGCCGCAAGGUAUAGCAACAUUACCAAUUGUUCAUAAGAAUAUAUUUUUUUGUGAAAAAUGUUUCUUAACCAUUGUCUUGCUUAUAUAGCACACAUGUCUCAAACGAGCUAGGAGCUGGAAACCCAAAGGCAGCUCGAGCAGCGGCCAAUGCUGCACUUUACCUUGGCGCUUUCGAUGCUUCCUUUGUAUGCAUCACUCUUUACAGUUAUCGAAAAACUUGGGCGUAUAUCUUUAGCAAUGAGGUAGAAGUCGCUCACUAUGCAACAAAACUCACACCGAUUCUCUGCCUAUCAAUCUUUAUCUGCAGCUCUACGGCCGUGCUCUCAGGUAAGCAAGUUAUAUCGAAUGGAAAAACCAUAUGCAGUAAAAUGUAGAGAUGGAGGCUUUUGUGAUUAUAUUUGUAACUUGAAAGCCAAGAAACUAAUGUACACUGCAAUUCAUCAUAUCCUUAGGGAUUGCGAGAGGAGCAGGGUGGCAACGUAUAGCAGGAUAUGCAAGCAUAGGAUCAUAUUAUCUGGUUGGUAUACCUGUGGGUUCAGUCUUAUGUUUUGUUGCGAAAUUGAGAGGGAGAGGACUUUGGAUUGGUAUAUUGUUAGGCUGCUUUUCUCAAACGAUGGUUCUUGCUCUUGUCACUUUUUUCACCAAUUGGGAGCAAGAGGUAUACCUUUCUUUCUCUAGUUACUUAUCUUCAUCAUUUUCUUAUAAUUAAAGUUUUGAAUUUUGUCUCGAUUGGGCUCUAGGCAACGAAGGCGAGGGAUAGAGUAUUGGAGAUGACACCUAAAGGAAACCAAGAAACAGAAAUCAUAAAAGAGGAUGCGCAAGUUCUACUAAGCAAUAUUUCAGAAAAUGUGUAACCCCAUGUCCAUAUGUUUCUGAUUUACACAAGCGUCUGUGUUUCUAGUUCACAUAAGCAUGUGUUUAUGAAUCAAAUAAGAAUAAGGCUUCAGGCAACAAAUUAAAUACGAUAAAGAGAGAGAGAGAGAGAGAGAGAGAGAGUCAGUAGAAACCCUAGCCCGCCGCGUUUCUCCGGCGGCGUUGUCGCUGUGUCGUCGCCGGAGAGUCACCCUUUACCUUCUUUUUUCUCCUUUUUCUUUUGCCUUCGUUAACGUCCCUUCCCCUCAGCGAGAUGCGUGUGAACUCUGGCUUCUUCGGCUCUUCAGAUCUCAGAUCUGGCCGUGUAGUGCGGUUUCCGAGUUUCUGGAGUCACAGCGAGUUGAGUCAGGAAGGUGUCGUUAUCGGAGGUCGGCUUUUAGGGUUGGAUUUUGGAUGGAGCUAUUUUCCCCUUGUCGCUCCGUGUACCUCCGUAGAUGUCUAAUCUGUGCCGUCGUCGCUCUCCUCCGAGCUUCAGUGUUCUUUCGCAGGCGUUAGUGGAUGAGCUCCGGUUGGAUUCGACAUCUGAACCCGUCUUUUCUUCAUUCCGGAAGAACUGAAACUCAUGCUCUUGGAGAUGUUGUUUCGCUCUGUUCCGGCGGCUCGGUUUUGGAGUCAAGACUAGGAACUCGUGAUGGAAGGUCUUGUGUGGCAGUUUACGCACCAGUUUGGUGGGGAACCCGUUUCUGUGUUUGAAAAGAAAUCUGCAACUAAGGUAUCUUCUCAUUAUGUGGUUCUUUUGGCUUGGAAUCCAUAUAAUAAGGCUGGAGUACGACUGAUAUCUGGACGGGACUUGAGGGUGAAGUAUGCGCCUUGGCGUUGAGUUGGUAUGAUCCAAGUUCUGAAUGUCAAUUAAGUGGUGAUCUCCAGCAAGGUCUUAGUUUGGAAUUCAUCUGUUAAGUUUAGUUUUCAGUUUUAGUCAAUGCUCGUGUAAUUAGUGGUUUAAGGGACAGUUCAUUUUCACCAUUUUGGUAAAGUGAAUUUGUUUCCAUGGUGGUCAAAGUGAUAGGUAGUUAGAUGAGGCAAUGUAGGAUCCAAAUAAGUGAUCUUAGAUGAUGCUACAUCUACUUCCAUAUAUCACAUUGUGGUUAAAGCCUCUUGAGGCAUUGUGGUCACAAUUGUUUGUAUCAAAACAUUUGGCUAAUGAUAAGUUGAUGUUGAGUUAAAAAAAAAAAAAAAAGAAUAAGGCUUCAAAUGUUUCCAAGCACACAACAGUUAAUAGUAAAAAAAUCUCUACAUAUAUCUAUGUAUCUAUAUAUUUUUGUUAUUAUUAGUACCACAUUGCAGUUGUUCUGCAAUUGUCCACAUUUUAUCAUUCGGAGCCUAUGUUUUUUGAAUUGACUAUUGACAAGAGUUGAACAAUGAACUGGAAUCUGGAACAAUAAAAUACUAUUAGACAACAAAUAUAUAGCAAACUGAAAUCAUAUUAUUCUGCUCAUAAAUGAUUUUCAUUUUGAUUACAUCGAAUCUUCCUUAUACGUACAUGUUCUAGACAACUAUAUAUUAUUUAUCGAGAGAAAGACAACAUUGACAUGGGGAAAUCCGAUGCCAUCUUCAAAAAUAGCCAAACUCAUUGACAGAAAUAUGACAAAUUGGCUUAUUUCACCUCGAGCAGCUGGAAGGUCGCAAAUACGAUAAGGGGUUGUGUGCGGUUCUCUUGUCAACCACCUGAUCUCAUGAGUCAUGACAACAUCAUCCAAAUCCAACCUUUCAUUUUUGGUUUUAAUUCUGUAUUCGUUGUAUUAUGUUUUUUUCUCCAAAAAAAAUAAGUUUUCUUUCAGCUAUAUGAUGAAGAUAUUGUAAUUCGGCCACCCCAGUUUCCAUCUUUCUUUUUAGAGUUUACCACUCUUAAUUUCUCAAAAAAUUGAAUCUAAACCGUCAAAAUCGAAAGUCGUCACACUAGUAGUUUACAGAAUCUCCAUGAAACAAGAAUAAACUUAAAAACUGAAAAUCUGCUGCAUGAAAUUAGAAGAGUUUAAGUCAUAAUCUCAAUGUGCCUUUAUGAGAUUUCAUUGGCAAUGUAUUAUAUAACCCAACACAAAAAAAGCUUAAAUAAAUCGCGAAGAUUUUUUUUAAUAAUAUCUGUGAUUAAUUGAUCAUCACUUGGUUUAUUCGAUAGUGCAUGUUACAUUUAGCGGAAUUCUGAAGAUGGGUAAGUGUUUUUGUUUUGAAUUAAAAAAAAAAUUGGUUAAAAAUCAUUCAGUAAAUCAAGUAAUCAACUAGUCUCUAACCCUUCGUCUAGGCGUCUAUAUAUUAUAUUGGACGAGUAUCACAUAAUCAUCCAUGAUAUUAUUAUGAUACUUUCUAAAAAUCUCAGUGUCACAGUCACGGUAGUAUUUAGGAAAUUUCUUUGGCAUAUGGAUAAUGGUUGGACCUACCACGGAAAUUUAAGGAAUAUUUGUUACCCAUAUUUGACAAACCUUGUAUCCAAGCAUAACCAAAUCAUAUCUCCUCAACCUUACUCAACCCGAUGUCGAAAAUUCUUUCCCUGCCAAGCAUCUCAGUAACAACCUUAACCCUUCCUAGAUCCAUCCAUAUCCGAAAAACUGUGUGAAAAGAAACUUCGAUUACAACCGUGCCGAUGACCGCCCCCCAAGCAUAACCAAAUCAUAUCUCCUGAACCUUACUCAACCCGAUGUCGAAAAUCCAUCCAUAUCCGAAAAACUGUGUGAAAGAAACUUCGAUUACAACCGUGCCGAUGAGACACGUUUUUUCCUAAAAAAACUUUGAGCAAUAAUUGACAAAAACCGAUUUUUACAUGUGUCUUUUUCAUAUUAGUGAAAUUAUUAUUUCAAUAUUUAAAUUUAAUCAUAAAUAAAUUAUAAUAAUAAAUUAAUAUGAAGAGAAUAACAAAUGCUUAAAGAACUGUCCAUAAGAGAAUUGGUGUUAAUAAUGCCCUUAGAGCACCACUAAUGGAUAUAUAAUUUCACAUAUAAUCUCUAAAUUAGUAUAACAAAUACUUAAAAAACUGUGCACAAGAGACUUGUGUUGAUGAUGCCCUUAGAGUAAUGGAUAUAUAAUUUCACAUAUAGUCUCUAAAAUUUCAAAAAAAGUCUCUAAAUUAAUUUGUAUUGAUAUUUUAAUUGCACUAAGUGAGUUAAUAAAUUUUUUGUGUAAAUUAAAUUGAGCCAAUAAAAAUGGACAAGCGUAAAUACAGUCUCUACAAAAUAGUCUCUUUGCAGAGAAAUGAUUGUGGCAUUUUCUAUAAUCUCCUCCAACUUUUUCUUUUUUAAUUAUAUUUUUUGUUGAAAGACUUCCUUGAGAGAUCAUCACAUACUACUCAUCAAAAUCUUCUUCCUUGACUUUCUCAACUAUUUUCUGACAGUUGGCACUAUAUAUAGUAUCUGGUCCAUCUUGGGUUCUUAAUAAUUAAAGAGUUACUAGACCUUCACCCGCCCGACCGGGCGGGUAUUUAUUUUAUUUUUUUAGUUUUGUUAAGUUUAUAUUAAAUGAUGUAUUUGUAGUAUUUAAACAUAAAUUUAUAUUGAAAUUUAAUCUUUGCAGUUAUAAUAAAAAUUAAAAUUAAAAAUUUAACAAAAUAUUCUGAUAUAAAUUUUAUCCUAAUUAAAAUAAUAUAGAGGUGGGUCAUAAUAUUUUUCCAUUUUCAAAAUCUUAGCAUCCCUUAAAACAAAGAAAAUAAAUUUAUAAAUACAUAAAAUAUAUAAACAUCUUUGGAACUAUAAUAUCUAUUAAAAUAAAUUUGUUAAAGAAAAAUAAUCUUGCGCUGUUGUUGUUUAUUUCUAGAGCUUGAUCCGUGACCGUAUAAAUAUUUGCUUUCACUUUAAAUUUCUUUUUUGUACUAAUGGUAUAUAUAUAUUUGUAAAUUAAAAUGUAAUAAAUAAUUGUUAAUAUAACAUUUUAAAACAUAACAAUUUUAUUUAUUACUUUGAAUAAUUAUAUUUUGUGAUUUUAAUUGUUUAUUAUAUCACAAUGUGUCAUAUAAAAAAUCCAAUAUUUAUAACUAAUUGGACUUAUAUUAUGAAAGCAUUAUACUAAUAAUAUAUGAAUAAAGUAUUUUAUAUUUUAUUUAUAUGUUAUAUAAAUUGAUUAUGAUUUGUUAUUUUUCAUUUUAUUAUUUAUUACUAACAAAUAUUUAAAAUAUUUAAUAUGUUAAUAUAAAAUAUAUUAGGAAAUCUAUUUUGGUUAAGAUUUGAUUAAGGAAAGCUAUUAUUUAAAUUUUAAAAAAGACAUUAAAUGCUUAAAUUUAUUAUUUAAAUUAGGAAAAUACAAGUAUACUUAAAUAUAUGUUCAAUAAAUAUCUCAACUGCAUGCUAAUGUAAAUAAAUGGUAAAAUUAAGGGGUAUUUUUAUUUUGUACUUCUAUUUUAAUAAUAUAAAUUAAGAAUAUAAAACUUUUGUUACACGUUCUAUACCGAUAAUACAUGCUUAUGAAAAGUAAAUUUAUCAUUCUUUGUAUUUUGAAUAAUAUAUAUAGUUAGUUGAGAUAAUAUAAUUAGAUUUUUUUGUUAAAAAAUAGCAUGCAAUAAUCAGAUAUGAUUACUUAAUCGAAUAGUAGUUAAAGAAUAUGAAAUAUACUAAAGGAAUAUGGAGAUUGUAGUAAGUAUGAUAUUAUCUUUGGUUAAUAGAAUUUAACAAAAAAAAAAAAUCUUUGGUUAAUAGAAAUUGAAUUUUGACUGUCCUUGAUUGUUACGUAAAUCUGUUUAGUACAACAUUCAAAUUUGUAUUUUAGCAACAUUUUGUUAAGAUUAUGAAAAUAAUAUUUGUGAGAUCACUUUGGUUAAUUUUAUUCUGUUUUUUUUUUCAGAAAACAUGAUUCCUAUUCCACAUAAAUGUAAUUCAUCAAAAUCACAUCUAAGAUUUUGGCAAAUUCGAGGACUGUUUAACACAAGUAGAAAGAAUGAUUCAAAUCGAUUUGUGAUGAAUGUGAGGUGUCUUGGUUAAUAAUUAUUAUAUGGUAUAGGUUUAACAUCUUAUUUUUGUUUGGCCAAUUUAUUUAAAUUGACAAUUGAUGGAGUUUGUUAAAGUUGUUAAAGCCGGUGGUUUAUUUAAGCUGGUAUAGACGUAAUGUUUGGUAAACAAUCUAAAUUAAUUAAGUGGUUUGAUUUAAGUGAUAAACAUGGUUUAUGUCAGUGGCAUAAAGAGGUAAAUAUUGAGAAAAACUCAGGACUAAGUAUAAAAUGUACUUUCCUUUUAAUAGAUUAGAUUCUUGGGUUCACCCCCUAUGGUGAACCUUUAGAUUCACCAAUCAAUAAAAAAUUGUCAUUUUAGAUCUAGUAUCUUUUAAUUAAGUAAACUAAAUAACUUGGCAAAUUAUAUUAUCUUUUUAAAAUAAAAUUUAAAAAUAAAUAAAAAUAAUAUAUAAAAAACAAAUUCAAAAAAAAAUAAUGUUGUCAACAAAACACUAAACCCUAAACUCUAAUACCAAACCCUAAACUCAAAUCCUAAACCCUAAACCCUUGGGUAAAUUCUAUAUCUUUGGAUAAACCCUAAACCCUUGGAAAAACACUAAACAUGUUGUCAACAAAACACUAAACCCUAAACUCUAAUCCUAAACCCUAAACUCUAAUCCUAAACCCUAAACUCUUGGGAAAAUCCUAAACCCUUGGGUAAACCCUAAACUCUUAGGUAAAUCCUAAACUCUUGGAAAAACACUAAAUAUUUGGAUAAAUUCUAAAUUAUAAAUCUUAAACAUUAAAUUCUAAAUCUUAAAAACAAAUUUUUUUUUUAAAUAAUCUUUUUUAGAACUAUUGUUAUUUUUUUUAUUUAAUCUUUUAUUUUUUAUUUUAAAAGCAUAAUAUAAUUUGGCAAGUUAUUUUGUUUCCUUAAUUAAAAGAUACUAGAUCUAAAAUGACAACUUUUCUAUUGGUUGGUGAACCUAAAGGUUCACUCUAUGGGGUGAACCUAAGAAAAAGUCAUAAUUAAAUCAACCUGAUCUUUUGUAUUUAAAAACAGCUAUUGACAGUUUUAAGAUUUAAUAUAUAUAAAAAAUAUUUAAUAUAUAAAGUUAACACACCCGUGACCAUUUAACCCAAAAAACAACCAAACCAGAUUAGUUUUCCACAAGACAAUGCUGUUUUUUCUUCCAAAUCGUUGAUUUAUGGUCCAAUUUUGAUUCCUUUUGUAAACGUUUAUUUCAUUACAAGUUUGACAAGCCCACGUCGAUCACAAAUAGAAAAAUUCCAAAGAUCGCGAUAUGAGCCUUGUUCAUUAAUUAUUAUUCUUUCCUGAAAAUCCUUGGUCAUUAAUUAUCAUGUCAAAUUUUUAUUGAAAGCCAAACCUUAAUAAGUCAAAAUCAUAUUGGCUUUCGCUACUAGACUCCACAUUUUCUAAAAGAAAAGAGAAGAAGAAAACACACAAUGGAAGAUCCAUUACUGGUAAAUUACAAGAAAGAACAAGAAGUAGAUAAGAUAAGAUGGGAGAAGUUGAAGAAAGUGGCAUCCAUGGCGGCUCCCAUGGUGGUCGUAAACAUAUCUCAAACCCUUCUUCAAGCCACUUCUACAAUGAUUGUCGGCCACAAAAGCGAGAUCUCUCUAGCUGGAAUUGCACUCGCCAGCUCCAUAGCUAAUGUAACCGGGUUCAGUCUCCUCGUAAGUUGAACUUGUACAAACUCAUAACAGAUUAUCCUAUUUAAUCUCCUCUGAUUUAAUUUUAUUACAUACAAUUAUUUGAAUAACAGUCUGGACUAGCGAGCGCAUUAGAAACAUUGUGUGGUCAAGCCUUUGGAGCUCGUCAAUACGAGAAGCUCGGGUCAUAUACUUUCACUUCCAUUAUUUCUCUCCUCAUCAUAUGUUUCCCAAUCUCUCUUCUAUGGAUUUUCAUGAAGAAUCUUUUGUUAUUGUUUCAUCAAGACCCCGAAAUAGCAGAGAUAGCUUCUGUUUACUGCCUUUGGCUCAUACCAGCUUUAUUUGGUUACUCUGUACUUCAAUCUUUGAUUCGCUACUUCCAGACACAAAGCUUGAUUUUUCCUAUGGUUCUGUCUUCUUUAACGGUUCUGUGUUUCCACGUGCCGGUUUGUUGGAUUUUGGUUUACACUUUAGGGCUUGGAACCAAAGGUGCAGCUUUAUCUAUAAGCCUUUCGUAUUGGCUCAAUGCGGUUUUCCUCUGGUUUUUCAUGAGACGUUCUCAACUUUGCGAUGGCAAACGCGUUUUUAUAUCGAUGGAAGCGUUUGGUCACAUGAGGACGUUCUUCUCCUUAGCGGUUCCUUCUGCGUUGAUGAUUUGUCUUGAAUGGUCGGCUUUCGAAAUUUUGAUUCUUAUUUCCGGAGUUUUACCCAACUCAAAGCUGGAGACAUCUGUGAUUUCCAUGUGGUAAUACGAAGUCCUAAUUUUUUUGGCAACACUAUAGUCUCUUUGAAUCCUAUGAUUGUUGCGUAUGACCUAAUGGCUACAUUUUCAUUUGAACAGCGUGACAUCGUCUUCUUUGCACUACAAUCUAGCAACUGCGAUUGGUGCGGCCGCAAGGUCAGUUUGUUUAUUAUAUAACUUGUUUAGAAGAAGAAACAAAAAAACAGUUGCACUUAAAUUUGUAUGGACUUACAACUUAUGAGUAGAUUAUAAUUCUAUAUUUCUUUAUAUAGUAUUGCAUUAUAACUCAUUUUCUUCUCUCAUUAUAUGUAGAUGAUAGGUGUUUUAGUCUACUUCAAAUCAAAUUCCAUUUUAAGAUCGGUAACAUAUCCUAUUCGAGUGCUAAUUUUGGGUUUUAAUAUCAUUUUAAGGUUUAAAAAUAAAGCUGAUUGUCAUUGAGUAGAUUAACUUAUGUUUCUUAACAAUUACUCUAUGUCACAUGUGACUCCUAAUAGGUAUUUCAUUGAAGUAAAACACAUGUGAACAUUAAGGGAAACGUCAAUGAAAUGCAAACAGAGAAUCAAAGUGCUAGUCAGUUUAACUAUUUAUUUUAUUUAUUUAAUUGGAUUUACUUAAAUGUUUUAGCACAAAUGUGGCCAACGAACUAGGAGCUGGAAACCUAAUCGCAGCUAAAGCGUCUGCGUUUGUUGCAAUCAUGAUUGCGGCAGUUGAAUCUUCUUCCGUAAGCGUUGCUCUGUUCAUGUUAAGCAACGUUUGGGGCUACGCUUAUAGUAACGUCCCUGAAGUGAUUCACUACGCGGCAGAAAUCACACCGGUUCUCUGCAUUUCCAUUGUCAUGGACAGCUUGUCAGCCUCACUAACCGGUUAGAAAUCCAUAUUCUCUUUAGUCUUUAUAAACACACGAAGAAAAGAUAUUUUCUAUAUAAACGUCUUGUUUAUUUUUGGUGUAUGUGUUUGAAGGGGUUGUGAGAGGAAGUGGUAAGCAGAAGAUUGGAGCUUAUGUGAAUAUCGCUGCGUUUUAUAUCAUCGGAAUUCCUGUAGGAUUUCUCUUCUGCUUUAUACUUGACUUCAAAGUUAAAGGUCUCUGGAUUGGAGUUCUUACUGGAUGCACUGUGCAAACUAUCACCUUGUUUCUCAUUACUACAUUCACAAAAUGGACCAGUGAGGUAACUGAGGCCUCUAGCUCGACUUAAUAUGCCAAUUAUUGCGGUUGUGUUCCCAUAAAAUUAUUUGUAAAGUCUCAGUUAGUACUUUUAUAUUUAUUUUUGAUUUUUUCUAUCAGUAACAUGCGAAUUUUUUAUUUGAAAAACAAAUAAAACAAUACAAAUAUAUUGUAACAUGUAACUGCGAAACCAAAUUUAAAUGUGAAAGAUGUGUGAUAUCCGCCUCUAUGAAUACCUCCAAGUAUGAGAUAGAUGUAGCAUCCAUUCAUAAAUCUAUAUGGGUUGAGACUUAGGUUAUGAAAAACAAAAAAUGUUAGAUUUAAAUCUAAAAAAAUGUCAGAUCAACAUCAAACUUGUUCACCACGUCAAGAGCACAUAUCUGGUGGUAAUAUACUAGAAGCUUUUAAGAAACAGAUUUACCAAAUGAGAUCAAAAUAUCUACACGACCUUUUGUUGACAUAUUCUCUCAUUUCUUCUCCCAAGAGGGACAUCUUUUUACAACUUUCUAAAUAGAAGAAGUUUAGAAAUUUAAUAUAGAGUUUGAUUGUGUUUCAAAAAGAAAAAAUAAUUAGAGUUUGAUUUGAAAAGCAACUCAUAGAGUUCGUAAGAUCAUGCGUCUUAAUUUUGUUAGACCAAAGGAUCAAACAAAUUGCUCUUCAAAGUUGAAUGGCAGAAUUGGUUCCAUAGCUGCAUACCUUUGAAAAUUUAUUCUACUAUUUUUUUUGUUAGAUGUUUUAUCUUUUACUGCAAAUUUAAUUAUAUAUACUAGCUACAUACCUUUGAAAAUGAAUUUAAAUUUACAAAACAAAACAACUCAUGAUAUUCAGAAGGAGAUAGAGGGAGUAAUGGUUCGAUCUCAUCUCCUCUUUUUGUAAACUCUAUAAGCUACAGAUAAUGGUGAAAUCUUCUAUAUUAUUUAUACAAAAAGAAUUGUUUAGUCAAACUUUCAGAUCUGUAGGUGGGUCUAAUUCCAACUCAUAGUCCUAUAGCCAUAUUUUCUGUUUAGAGCAUGAUUAAUUUAUACUGUACAAUAUGUAAGUAUAGAUCCUAACCCUAAUUUCUGGAUAUAAUUUGAGUUUCAUCAGCUAUGGCCCGUAGUCAGAAAGGAAAUAUGACCUAAAAAUUAGAGUGAUUAAGGGAUAAGGAAAAGAAUGUUAGGGUUAUUGUGGCUUUAAUGAGAUCAUUGGUGAUGGAUGCAAGGAGAAUGUAGCCAAUAGAAGGAUGAAAAAGUUAAAGAGGGAACAAAGAAUCUGAGUGAAACAGUUGCUUAAUUCUUAUCUUAUGCCUCUUCACGAUAAGCAUCUUCGUACUUGUCGCUUCCCUAUAGCUUCUUCCUUAUUCUCCUUUACUUUUUCAACCCUAUCUCCAUUCCUUUUCUAUCAUUCCACUAUUCCCCACUCACACCAUUCUUUUAUUAUAUUUAAUAUUUGCAAUUAUGUUCACAAUUACACAUUUACAUGUAUAUACACACACAUAUAUCUUACAGUUAAUUGUCGUUUUACAACUAUGUUAUAUAUCUACUAAUAAUAGGAAUCCCAAUUAAUUCUAAAGGUUGUGAAUCCACUUAUGUUGAAAGGUUGUGUCUUUUGAAAAAGAAGUGUAAAGGGUUGUGUCUUUUCGAAAAGUUCUAUGUUGUAAGGUUGUGUCUUUUCCAAUUAAUUCCAAAGGUUGCGAAUCCACUUAUGUUGAAAGGUUGUGUCUUUUGAAAAAGAACUGUAAAGGGUUAUGUCUUUUCGAAAAGUUCUAUGUUGUAAGGUUCUGUCUUUUCCAAUUAAUUCCUAAGGUUGUGAAUCCACUUAUGUUGAAAGGUUGUGUCUUUUGAAAAAGAAAUGUAAAAGGUUGUGUCUUUUCUAAAAGUUCUAUGUUGUAAGGUUGUGUCUUUUCCAAUUAAUUCCUAAGAUUGUGAACUUCAGUUAUGUUGAAAGGUUGUGUCUUUUGAAAAAUAUGUGUAGAGGGUUGUGUCUUUUCUAAAAGUUCUAUGCUGUAAGGUUGUGUCCUUCUAAAAAUUGUCUAAAAGUUGUGACUAUUCAUACAAUUUUUAAACACAACAAUUUUAAGCGAAAUGAUAAAAUAUAUAGACUUAAAAAGACAUAAGAUAAAGAUGCAAUUUUUAAAGUCAAAAGUGAUAAUAAACAAAACAAUAUAAUAUAUGUUGAAAAUAUAAAUUAAGAAAAUACAAUUUAAAAAUAAAAUCAGUUAUAAACGAAAAGGUACCUUGAAUGGUUAUAAACGAUAAUGUACCUUAAACAGUCAUGAGCAUAAUUAAAAUGAAAAGACAUGUCCCUAUGAAUUAAUUGGGUUUGCCAACCAUUUAAAUGAAUCAUUGCAAUUGUUUGGAUGAACAUUUACAACUGUUUAAUUGAACUGUUACGACCUUACAUGAUUAAUCAUUGUAAGUUUUGAUCUUCAACCAUUGCAACAUUUAGUUACCUUACAUGAUUAACCAUUGUAAGUUUUGAUCUUCAACCAUUGCAACAUUUAGUUACGAAUCAUUGUAAUUCUAUUAACCAUUGCAAUAGUUGGUGGUUAAGCAUUGCAAUCUUUGGUCUUCUACAUAUAGUAGUUGUGAACAAUGAAAAAAUCAAACAACAAAAAAAUAUCAGAACAAAUAAAAAAUAGAUAAAAAGGAGAAAGAUUCACUGCUCCAAAGGAUCAUAAAAUAUUUUUAUAGGAUAAGACAAAUAAAUUUAUCUUUUCUUUUAAGCAAAUAUACAAAAGAUAUAAACAAAGUUUCCAAGUUUUAUAUGUGUUUGCUCCAAAAUAUUUUAGCAAAAAUCUUUUUACUCUUCAAAUGCUAAUCAAUUAUGGUUCAGAAAUGCAUGUGUGGCAAAAGAUUUAUUAGAAGGAGAUGAAGAGUGGCAUGAUACAAUUAAAAGGCAUCAAUUUGGGACACACGAAAUCAAUUUGUAUUUACCAAUCAUAUUAUUAAUUUACUGGAAAGUUACAAAUUCAUUACAAUUAUGAAAUUCAUAUUGAAAAUAAUCUCCUGAAGACAUAGAGUUCCAGCAGAAAAAUCGGUGAAUUUUUUUUUACAACAAACCCGUGGUUCAUUUCCAAAUGAUAAUUAAUAAUGGUGUUUUAUUAUUUUCUAAAACAACAAAUUUCUAUAUCUAUAAUCGUUAACAAUUCUAUUUCUUCAACCUUAAAAAGUUUAUAAACAUUAAAAAGUUGGUGUUUACAGUUAUAAUAAAAAUGGCAUUACUAAAAUGAUUCUUAAGAUCAGUUACAAAAAACAGAUUCUUAAGAUACAUAAAUUAAGAUAGUAAGAAUAUGUGUUCUAAAGAUGAAGAGUUAUUGUGUCUCACACAAAUGCACCAAGUGCUGUUGAAUCUAUGUACCAGAAGAUAAGAAAAUAAAUAGUGCUUGUUAAGAAAUGAAGAUGAUGAUGGAAUUGAGGUUUAUGGUAAAUGUUAAAAAUUAUAUUUGAUCAAAAAAGUAAACGUUAAUAUAUUAAUCUAAGAGGUGUGUGCAUGCUUAAAAAAUACGAAUGAGGAGUUGCAAGUUAAAGAGACAGUUACAAACUUAACUUCUCUUUAAUUUGUAACCUUCAUUUUGUUAUUAAAUAUUUUUUAUUUAACAUUACUUGUCGAAAACUAAACUGUCAAAAAGUUUAGUCAAUACUUUAUUGUAGUCUAAUAAUCACAUCUCUGUAAUCUCUGAGAAUAUUUUCUAAAAGUGUCUAAAAUGUAUAUUUUCUCUAAAUAAAUAUUAAAGUUGUGAUUUUCAUCAUAUUGUAUCUUUCAUCUUAAAAAUGACAUUAUUUAAAAAAUGUUAUCAAAAUAUAUAAGUAUAUAUCUAUUCAUCUUAACAAUAUGUUUUUCAUUUUAAGAAUUAUGUUCGUGUAGAAGAAGUAGUCAAGUGUAUAAGGAUGUAUCUUUUCAUCUUAAACAUUGCUUUUAUUAAAAAUAAAUUAUCAAAAUGUCAAAAAGUGUAUAUUUUCUCUAAAUAAAUGUCAAAAGUUACAAUUUUUCAUCUUAAAUACAUUUUUUAAAAAUGUUGUCAAAAAUAUAUGAAUAUGUAUCUUCUCUUUUAUAUAAAAUGUGGCAUAUUUUUUCUAAAAUAAAUUCUCGUGCGAUAUCGCACGGGUUUCCUUUCCUAGUACUAAAUAGAGUAAUAUUGUAAGAAAUCAUUAAAACAUAUUUUUUUCUUAAAACUAGCACAUAUAAGAAAAAAAUAUAGAAUAUCAUUUAUUAGUUAAACACUUUUUAUUUUAUAUUUGAGUUUAAAACUUUUUUUAACAUCAAACGACUGAUAUUAUUAAAAGCUUGAUAAUAGGAACAACCAAUGUAAUAAAAAUCUUUAUGAUAAACUUUUGAUAUCUUAUCUAAUGAUCAAUAUGUUGUUUGUUUUCAGAAUGUAGAUGAUAAACAACAGAGAAGUAUACAAAUCUUUUCUUCAGUCUUGAUAUGUCUUGAUAUCUCUUUUAACUCUCUAGACCAAUUUGACAAUGUUUUUUGUUCUUGUAUCAUCGAAAUUAUGUCUUUGCCGCAAUCAGUUCCAAAGUGUUGGCACAUCAAUAUUUGCAGCAUAUAUUCCAUAACCCCAAAAAAAACUCAAGGUCUACAUGUAUAGAGAUUAUUGAUUAGUGUUUAAGCUAGCAUUUUAGAAAUUAGUCAUUUAAUCCUUUAAUAAAUACUAUUCUAAGAUUUUUUUUCAUUUAUAUGCUACGUUGUCAUAAAUAUUUUUAUAUGCUAUCUAAGAGAUUUUUCCACGUAGAGAAAUGUCACAUUUCGACCCUACUCUUUUCAAAUUUAUAUUUGCUAGUUUUUUUGGGAACUAAGUCUAUUAUAUUCUCAAGGUUGAGUGGUUUUUGUUUUGGUUUAACAAUAAAUACGAUUAAGAGAACUAAGUAGAGCCAGUUACCUUUGUUUCUUACACAUGUAGUUCUAUCAUUCAGCUAUAUAACAAUUACUUUUAGUUGGUUCUAAAAAUUCAAUGUAAAUAUUUAUCGACAGACUUGUGGCUUUGGUCAAGCAUAAGCAUAGGACAGAGCAAAGUAUCCAUAAUAUUUGAUACGUUUAUAUUCGAACUAAAAACUCGGAUAUUCGUAACUCUACGAAACAAAAUAAAUACUUUUAUAUGCAAUAUAUGUUAAAAACAACAUGAAUUACAAAUACUAUUAUUUCUAGGAAAAUAUAUUCAGUCGGAUCCAUUAUAUAUAUAUAUGUAAAUCAUAGUUAUCAUAUUUAAUGUAAGUUUACAAUAUGUUUAAUUAUUAAAUUGAUUAUUUUAGCUAUGGGGAUUUUAAUAUGUACCAAAUUAUUAUUAUGUUAUAUUAUAUAUUUAUUUUUUAAUUUUUAUUUUAUUUAUACGAUUGAAUUAGAUAUCCAGUAAAAUAUAAAAUUUUUUAAUAUCCAAACACUGAAUAUUCAGAUAAAUAUGAAUCAGAUCGAAUCGAAAAAUAAAUUGAUUAUUCAGAUAAAAUAUCGGAUUUGAUUUACGAAUAUUUACAAAAACUUAGAUAUAUGACUCGUGUCUAUUACUCAAGCCAGCAUCGCACAUGUAAUCUUAUUAUCUCUACAGAAAUCUAGAAACAAUUCUGCCUGAGUGAAGAAUAUAUAAAUGUAUGUAUCUAAAAAGAAAACAGAUAAAAGUAUACUCCUUGAUUAGAUGCAGUGCAUUAACCUUUUUGUGACUGUACGCCAAUUGUGUACCCAAAUUCACGGUCUUUUGUCCCAAGUAAAGAUAUGAUUGGAUAUAGCAGCUUUUUUUAUUGUUUUGCCAAUUACAACGCGACGCAUGGUUCAUGGACGUAACAGACACCAUUAAUAAAUAUUAAAUAAUAACUAAACUAGUUGCUGCGCUGAUAAAAAAAAAGUUAGGUUUAUACGGGAAAAAUGUCGAAAAUAUAUUAAGUCUGUAUAAUUAGUCGCGUAGUAUGCAAAGUUUAUUAUUCGUCAAAUAAUUACGAAGUUUGCAUUGACUGAGUUAUUUUAAAUAUGAACAUAGUUAACGUGAAUUAUAUUUUUCUUAUUCUUCAUGUAUAGUUUACAAGAUCGAAAAUCCCAAGUUCCUUCACUAACACUAGAUCUCCAACUUCGUUUCUCAAAAAUUACAACUGUUGAACAAUAGAGUUCAUAUAAAUUAAGUUCUCAUAAAAAUUAAUCUUUACCCAAAUAUAUCCUGAAGUCCUGAUCUCGAGCUAAUAAGGGAGAGAGAAGAGAUCGAGUUAGGUGUUGGUGAGAGGCACAGGGAAGUUGGCACUGUUCAUAACGGCCAUAUAUGGCACUGUUCAUGUUGCCUAUCCCUAAUCUAAAAUAGCUCAGCCAAAGUAAAUUUUGUGAUUUAUUUAGGACUAGGAUAUUAGGCAGAUUGGCCAAGUUUAAAGAAAAUUUUAAUCAUUUUUUGUGCUUAAUUUGAGAUGCUUGUUACGAAGAAGAUCUCUAUUGGAAACACAUAUACACACACAUUAUAAUAUAAAUGUACCCUUUUAGGUAAAGAUUAAUUUUUUCAGUGACAAAAAAAAAGAAGGUAAAGAUUAAUUUUUUUUCUUUUGGGUAAACCUAAAGAUUAAUUUUACGGAGCAAUAAUUUAAAUUUGAUAUCUUAGGGUUCUUCAACUCUCGUUCAGUCAUUCGGUGAGCCCAAGUGUUCCCUGGAAUAUAGCUUUGAAGACUCUAGAGUUGGUUUCCAUCCACAGAAUCUCAACUUAUCGUAGUGACAAAGUGACAAGACUUUUAUGCUUCAUCUUUCACUUGAAACCAUGUUUUUGCAUUAAAAUUAUUUAAAUCCGGUUCUCUUUUGUAUUUCUAAAGUUCUGUGUGUGGAUUUGGCACUUAUAUAUAGAAAAAAGCGUGUAAUAACAUAAGGCUGGAAUUGGAUAUUUCGCAUGGUGAUAAGGUUCAAGAUUUUUUGAAUAAGUUAUUUAACGAAAAUUUUAAAAGAUAAAGUUAAACAAAAAUCAAAUGUUGAACUGUUGAAGUGGAAGCGACUCUUGCAGUAAUACAAAAGAGAACUAGGCUAGUUCCUGCGUCGUUCACUGGUCUGUAAAGUUUGGUCGUCGGUCAAAAAGAAACAACUGAUAAUAGUAUUAUACUAAUACUUUUUUUUUUGUAACACAAUAGUAUUAUAAUACUAUAAAUGGAUUCUCGAACAUGAUGCAAAUCACCUGUAGUUUUGGUGGCUUUAAAUCAGUUGAGAAACUAUGACCAACCAAUUACUUUCGAAAGGUGUAAUGGAAUUAAACUAGGGAUGGUCGAUGUGAUUGAGACUAAUUUCUCAAUGUGGAAUGUGACAAAAAGAUCUGUCUCCAGAAACCUCCAACCAACUAGCAUGCUUAUUAGCCUUUCUUAGGCAUACGGAAUUUAGACAUAAAAUUCUUACUAGUACGUGCGCAUGUAGAGGAACCUUCAAUGGUGCCAACUACCAAGACUAUGAUAUCUCCGUUCCCAAAUACAAAGAUUAAUCAUAUAAAAGUUGAAGUACCAAUGUGCACAAAAAAAGAAGUACCAACAAAUAUAGACAAACACGGAAACUAUUAUGAAUAAGUUCUUAAAUAAUUCAUAACUUUUUACCUGUAUUUAUUUUGCAAUUGUAUAUUAGCUUUUGUUUGUUAUAGAUGAAGGGGCUGAACUGAUAAUUUUAGCCUCCCGUACUAUAGUAUCGUACAAGGUUAACAAUAAUAUUUUUAAAUUUUAGCAUACUAUUUAUAUUUGUAAGAUAAAUAUUUUAUAUAUUUGUAUACUUGUACAUAGACAUUUGGUUUGUAAGAUUCUCUCCAAUAUUUUAACAUGUGACAAGAUUUGUUUGGCUAAUGUGAUAGAAGUAUGAAAUGUUUAUAGGGAACCCUAAAACUUUGAUCAAAUUUAGAUUUAGUCCAACUCAAUAAUUGGAUUAUUUACAUGUACUUAUGUAAAACUAAUAUUAUAUUCACUAUGUGCUAUCUUUUUUUAUUAUUGCUCUCGAUAUAAACAAUUUUUUUGUUGUUCAAGAAUCAAAGAUAAAUUUAUAUAUGGUGUUAUCAAAGUUUUCUCUUCAAAUUACCUAGCUAAAAUAGUAUUAUAUAAAUGUUGGUAUUAUAAAAUGUAAUGUUGGAUCGAUUUUGAACGACGAUUAUAUCAAACUGUUUGUGGUUUAGUGGUUAUAUAAAGAUGUUAAUUCCUUUGUGUUUUGAAUUCAAACCUUCUCUAAUACGGUGUUCUAUUUUUUUUAAUUCGGAUUUCCAUAAUUGAUUAUAAAUCUAAAAUAUAUUAUGAGCCUAAGAUUUAGAAUUCGUACAUUAUUUAAGAAGUUGGUUGUAUAAAAUGUGAUGUUGGAUCGUUUUCCCAGCGGCAUGUAGUUGAUGAUAAGGGAUCAAUACCGAUCAGUGCUAUUGUAUAAAGGUUAGACUGAUUUCUACAGUUACAUAUACUGUUACUGGAGUUCAGCAAGCCUUCAUGGUUAUGCCUUGACGUGAUGCAAGCUUCACGAAUUAGCCAAGAUUUUAAACGAACGCCUUGGUAAGUUUUUUACAUCUUUGGAUCAUGUUGUCCAGGGGCGGACCUAGGUGAGCACUAGGUGUGGCAAGAGGACCUAGGUGAGCACUAGGUGUGGCAAGAGGACCUAGGUGAGCACUAGGUGAGGCAAGAGCCACAUACAAAAUUUUAAAUUUUCAUUAGUUGUAUUGUAAAUUGAGGAACUCAAAGGGCUUAAUCAAUCUCCUAUGCCCCAUUCUUUUUCGAUUGAAAUUUUUGUUAAUUACUAUGGUGUGCCCCAUGUUGCAAUGCUUACUAGAUCCUCCCUGGUUGUCCGCCAUCCAAGAUCAAAAUAAUUUAUAGGAUUUGAAGAAACAUUUGUUGUGUAUCUUUUUCCAAGGCAUUGGUUAAAAAUAAGGAUAAGAGCGAAUUAUAAUGGUGGAGGUUUUUUACUCAUUUUUGAUGGAUUUAAGAAUGGCAAUUGUAAUGGCCAUAUUAAUAGUUAGAUUUUUUGAUUAAUUUUGACGAAUCCAUCAAAAGUCUAUCAAAAACGUUGGUUAGUUAUAUUCGAUUCAAAUUUCUUUUGGAAAUACCAAAAGAUUAUGACAGUUUAAUGUGAUCCAUCAUAAAAGUUUUUCCGAUUAUGUUUCUAUUAGUAUACCGUCAGAAUUGUAUUAGAAAACUUUGACGACAUCUCAUAAAUUCAAUCGGUUUUACCAUUCUUUUUUUUUUAAUGAAGACUUGUUUUUUUGAAUGAGUUGUAAUGAAGACUUUACAAAACUUGAAACCAUCGAAAUGGACAAUCGAAUAAAUUGAAGACUUGCUGAAUUCCAAAAAAACGUAAAUAUAUUUAACUUUUCAUGUGAAGAUAAGAUCAUCUUCCAGAUUAUCUGUCUACACAAAACCGUAAAUAUAUAUAAUCUUAGCGAAAUGAAAUUUUCGUAUUGAUAGAAAAAGCAUCUCCAGUACCUUACCUUGUCAAUUGAUUGAUGGUCUCAUAGGGACUUAAGAAAAUAUAGAAUUUGAGAAAAUUUACCAAAAGAAGUAUCGGAGAAAAUAAUUGUGCGAAUGGGCUUCAUGUCUUUAUUCUAUUUUGGGUGGGUAUCUUUUAAAGAUUUGAUCUUCUACUUUUCUGAAAACCUAGAUAUAUAUGAUUAUCUUCUUCGUCGUCUUAUACACAGUAACACAAAGUUUGUUUCUUCUAGAGUUUCAAAUACCGUACCUGCAUAGUUAUACUAUCUUUGUUUUUCGAUUACCUUUUUUUAAUAUUUAUCCUUAUAUCGAAAUUUAAAAGGUGGCAUCCUUAUAUAUCAUCUAGUGACCCAAAUCAUGAGAUCAUUUAAUUACGAAAAAACGUGUAGUGUUUAUUGUAUUUGUAUUUUUAACCCCAUAAAAUAUUUAUGGACAAAAAGAAUUAUGUAAACUAGGAAAACAAUAACUAUACUCUUUGUGUGAAUUUUAACUGGUUGGCAAGAAAAUAUUAAUACAGAACGACGAAAGAGAUGUAUUUAAAACAAUAUCGAAGGUCAUAGUAUAAUCAUUUCCUCAGUAGAUCACAGUAAAUUAUAGGAGAGGAGAGUAACAAAACGACUUACAUACGAUUUAUAUCGGAUCACUUUUAAUAAACCUACGUCCACGUUUCACCAUUACUGAUUUCAUUAUAUUAGAAUUCAGACUUCUUAAAAAAAAUUCGGACUUACCAGAAUUCUCUCUUUUUUUGUUUCUCCCUCUACAACAGUAAUAAACAGUGACAACAAUAUAAGGAGAAACCAAUCAUAGGUCUAAAAAUGUAGUACGGAUCGAAGGUGUAAGUGGACAUUGACAAUGUUUGGUACGUUGGUCAGUUGUUUAGAUUGUGGAAACAACUAUGUUAUGUAUCCUAAAUCUAUAUAAUAAAAAAUACUUAAGGCAAAGAACGUGUAGUUUCAUCAGGGAUGCUAAUUCUGACGAAGAGAAAUCAGAAACAUGUUAGUUUACAAAAAAAAAAAAGAAAUCAGAAACAUGAUGGGGGACCUAAUACAACAAUGGCUUGUGCAUGAGCAAUCUCACUCUGUUUUUAAUACCUAGGCUUGAACUUGUUUUUAUUCAUUUUGCCAAGGUAACUCCUAGCCUGAUCUAAAUUAUUGUAACUUGUUACAAACUCUUUCCGUCUCUUUUAUAGAAUUCAUAUAUUUGGCACACACAAAAAACGUCUAAUAACUUUAUGUAUUGAUAUAUUUUAGAUUAAUAAUCUAAUGUUCGGCCUUAAAAAUUAUGUUAUUUGCACUCUAGCGUUGCAGGCCGUCUUAAGUAGGGGACAAACACUGUGACCGUCUAGGGUCUGAUCCGAUGUCCCUCUUUUUUAAUUGUUAGGGAUCUGGUUUUUAAAAAAAUAUAUGUUGAAAAUAUAUAUAAGGCGCAAAAAUAUUUUAUAUAAAUGUAUAUAUUUGCUUAUAAUAUUAUUAUCUUUAAAUGGAUAUUAGGUUUAAGGGUCAAAAAAAAAAUUGUACUAUGGACCUAUAAAAUUCUUGAGCCGGCACUGUCUUGUUGUGAUUAUGGCUAUUUAUUUUUUUUGUCAAACAAUCAAGGCUAUUAAUGUUUUAGAGUUCGGUUUUAAACGCUAGUUGAUCCUAGGUGAAAAUUGUAAUUUCUUAGAAGAACAAAUUCUUUUGUUUGUUUUUUUAUUUCUUUUGGCCGUUCCUGGCCCUUUGAUGUGAUUUUCCAUCAAUGAUUCAGUAUAUAAUGCGAGUUUGACGUCAUACGUUUUCCAUAAAGAUAUCGCUGACUAUUUUCAUCCCAAAGAGGUAAUUAAUCUUGCAAAACAGGUAGACAGUUCCAGAAAAGUGGACUAAGAAUAAUUUUCUACUGUUGACAAGCAUAGAUUCGAAAAUCCGUAUAUACCAAAGGAACCUAAAUAAUUACAAUAUUAUUCCAAACUUGUUGAAACAAAAUGUUCGAUGAAAUUGGAGAAGAGAAAUCAUCUCGCUGCUCUAUGUACGUCUAUAAAUAGUGGCUUCAAGAAUACUCAUCAUCAUCUCAUCACCAACCUUCUGGUACUUCUCUAACCCCAUACAUACAUCUAAUCAUAUAGUUCUCCAAUAUAUAAAAAGAUGUUGAGCUAAAACUACAAUGAUCACCAAACUUGGUAUUUUUAUCAAGAUCUUGAUAGUCGCUAGAGGUAUUUAUUAUUCAUCUUUUAUAGCAUUUAGUGAUCUUUUCAAUCAGGAUUCUGUAGUCGACCUUUAACGUUUGGUAGGCGUUGAUAGUGUUGACAGAAGAUAGAGAGCACAGAUGAUGAGAUGCAAUUUGGAGCAGCUUGUAUGCAUCGUACUCCUUUGUGCUCUCUAGUCUUCUGUCAUCACUCGUUACUUGCCUUAACCCACCGUAUAUAUAACCUAUUUUUUUAUUCAUGACUUAAUUACUAUUUGAAACUAUAAAGAAUACACAGUUUAGCCCUAAACAUGUUUUGAUCAAGAAAAACUGAACUUGCAUGAUCAUAUGUUCUAAUAUUGAUAUAUAUUAUGUGUUCUUUAUUGAGUUGUCUAACAUUCAAAUUUGGUUCGAGAGGUAUUUUAAUUAGCUAUAUCCAAAUCGUUUUUAGAGUGAAAGAUUAGUGAUCAAUUUUUAGUUUUGAAUCCUAUAUGAUAUAUAUAGUGAAUAUGAUAUUGGAGUUGGUUACCUUUAAUCAUUUUAGGUUUUUUAGAGUUGCUCUUAGUUUCUUUCCUUCCAUUAGCGGCGCUACUCAUGAGUCAAAGUCGAACAGAUAGACUGCGCAUAGCGUAUACAAAAAUCUGAAAUAAAUAUGAGAAUAUACAUAGAAUAUAUUUAAUAUACAUAGAGCUGGAAAUCAUUCAAACUCUUCGGUUGUGCUUUUCGGACUUCAAGAUCAGCUAUUUUCCAAGGACGUAAAACGAUAUUGCAGAUUCGCUAGUUAGGAAUGCACGUUCUUUUCAUAGAUCCCUAUGUUUUAUUGGUUGUUCUAUUCCGGUCUAGCUACCCAGACCACCUCAAGUUUGAGUAAUAGAAUAACCGUUUGCUGCCAAAAAUAUAUAUAUAUAUGUAUAUAUAUAUUUUUUAAAAAAUAUUUAUAUAUUAACCACCAAACUUUUAAAAAUUUCAUUUGAAUUAUUCAAUAAUCAAAGUUAAAAUAUUUCCUCCACAACACAUCUAAUUCAAAAUACAAGAAAGAGGAUUAAUUCGAAUUCAAAGAAUACACAUCAACAAUAGUUUUUGAACACAGCUAAGAAAUGAAGUAAAGAACACUAAAACUUAAAAAUCAGAAAUGGAAUAAAGAACACUACUGACCGAUUGAACAAAACUCAUAAAUGGAAAAUAGAAUCAUGCUUAUGCAAAUGGCAGGGGAAGAUCACUAAAAUAAUGAAUAAACUAUGAACAGAAGCAUAAGAGAUUGUUAACUCUAGUUCACAAAAUCAAUGGAGGUUAAUGAGCGAUGACCUCGAUUCCAUCUGAUUUCCCCUCUACUUAGUUAUCACUUUCCCCUUCACUUCUCACUUUCCCUUUUUCGUCACCAACAAAAAAAUAGGAUUCUUCAAAUGUAAAUUGAAGAGAAAGAGGAGAAAAAGGAUUGGGCUGAAUAGUUUAAUACACCGAAAGUGACUGUUUAAAUAUCUAAACGAAGACAUAUGAACAAAAUAUUCUUGACCAAUGAAAGUUGAUGUUAGGAGUUUAUGAACAAUCAAACUUGUAUAGAUGGCAUGUUUGUGUUGUUGGAUUCAACGGAAGUUAGUCUUCACCUAUCUAAACAUAAGAAUUAGUACUUCUCCUGGCUAAUCUAGUUAAAGAAGUUUCGGUUCGAAAAUAGUUCUAAUCAUAUUCCGUGUCUUGCAGAUAUUUCAUGAAUUUUGUUUCUCAAGUAUUUCUUGCGGCCAAACGCUUUUUUCUCCAGUUUAAAUUUCGUUUACAUUUUCUUUUUUACAUUCUUUGUAAUUAGAAACAACAAAAACAAACCAUUUUGUAUCUCAUAGAUUCAUAAUGUAACUUUAGUAUUUUAAGAUUCAGUCUCUAAAUACUACCACGAACUAUUGUGCACUUCUGGUAUAUAAAUAUAGUCAAAAUCUGAUCACAUCAUAAUCACAAUUCUCAUUCGUCAUGGAGUUUCGUUCAUCAUAUCAUAGAAACGCAGAUGUAAACGCAAAUAAACAUUUGUGGCCUCCUAAAUUAAAUUUGUAGAAACUUGUACAUCAACCGAAAAUUUUGUCUGGUUAUGGCAAAACAUUAAGUCACAACAUCAUAUAAAUAGUAGGCUACGUUAUAUAAUGACAUUUCACAGAGCAAACCCGCAUGAAACAUGUCUAUACGAAACUCAUCAGUUUUCAAAAGGCCCCCUGCUAUGUUCCUAUAUUUUGAUGGCUAAACAACAGUGAUAUGUCAUCUGCUAUGUUCCUAUAUUUUGAUGGCUAAACAACAAUGAUAUUUCAAAGCUCAAGUGUAAGCAAAUAACAAAGAAUGAAUGGAUGCAUUAAGCUCACAGGUCACUGGACAAUAAGGUGACACUUGAUCUAUAAGGUUAAGAGAACCAAAGACAUGAGGUAACACCCAGACGUGAGAUGCUACAUUAGAGUAACAAACUUUGUUAAGGAAUAAGUAUCACUUAGAAGGAGCAUUAACGUUCCGUUAAGUUCACUACAUAACUGGAAAACAGGUAACUCAGAAAGAGGUUAAGAAUUGUGUUGUGAAAUCAAAUACUAACUCUACAGCAAAUAGCUCGUGAAGGCCACACAUCAUCUAGUAGAAGAGCAUGAUAACUAGAAGUGAUUACUAUAAUAGGAAAUUUAACUCUUCAGUUCACAGAAUGCAUCUACACAUAAAGGUUCUCAGUACAACUAGCUGAGCUACAGCGUUCUGUUGUAGACCCUAAACAGAGCAACUCAACACAUAAGAAAGGUAUCAUCCAACACAGUUACUGCAUUCUCAGUGUGAGUUCACUAUGUAAGAUAAAAAGUAAGCUAAGUGAGGCAUGACAAGAUAUUCUACAAACUUCAUCAUUCGUGUAAGUUGAAACUUAAGGAAGUAGUUGCAGAUAAACUCAAAGAUGCACAUCUAAACUCAAAGAUGCAUAUCAUCAUAUGACUUAAGACUAUGUUCGUUUCACAACAGACCAAGUUAAUCCUUUCUCAUGUUCAGUAGAUCAACAAAAACUACACCACUGGUUUCUUGUGAAACGAACAUAGUCUUAACAUGAGAAAUCAAAACCAGUGGUCUAAUCCCAACACAAAUAGUUCACAAUGUCUACUUUUACACUAGACUCAUAACUAUCAACAAGUCAAGAAACCAAAACGCCCUAAAAUCAAAUCAAACAGAACACAGAAGAUUGAAUCAGUCACUUGUAAGAAAGUUGCAUACUUUAGACACAAAGUUAAAAACUUUAAUCAUCUCCAUCCGUAAUUAUAUUCCUUUAACCGUAUCAACAUUUAUUUAACAUCGUUCCCUUUCUACCAUUCAAUUACCCAGAAAAAAAAUUACGAUAUUUAUAUAGGUAUCAAAUCUGUACAAAUUAUUAUUACCCCUUUUUAUUAUGUAUAACCUUUGCUCUUCCCAGAUCAGUGAGUGAGAAGCAUCCUCUCUUGAUCGGUGAGUGAGUGACGGAAGUGGCAACGGUGGCCGUAAGGGCACGUGGAUCCGGUGACGAUCAUACGGCAGACUUCCGUUUUGUAGCGCGGGUGCCUUAUCACCGGACGGAGCUCGUCGAUUCCGUGAGCGAAUUGGCAGUUAUCUCCGUAAGGACAAGCUCCGGUCUGUUGCCACUUGUUGCAGAGCUCCGUCUUCGUCAUCCCUUGACGGUACACCUCAAGCUCCAACGCAUCUCUCUCUCCUUUCGUCGGCACACACACCUUCUGAGUUACCUUCACAGAUUUAUCCACAUUUUAUUAAUUAAAAUUAAAAAGAAAGUUAAUUAAAAUAAUAAUGAGUGAGGAUUACCGAGUCGGAACCGAGUUGACUCGUUUGACGACUCGCACCGCCAUAUCCAUGGCUCAUCAUCUUGAGAUAUCCCGGCGAGCGGACGGAGAUGCUCUUAGGCAACGAGUUUCUCUCCGGAUCGCUUCUCCUCCUCGCUUGGCUACGGAAAUCGGAGAUCUGUUGGCGGUUACGGACGUGCGGCGGAGAGACGGAGGAGGAAGACGACGAAGUGGAGAUGUGGAUGAGCUUGAGGAGAUCGACGUUCUCCUGGCGAAGCGCGUCGUUCUCGCGGCGGAGCGAGUCGAGCUCCGUCAUCAGGGACUGGAGGCGGGAGAGGCAAACCUCGUAGUUCUCGUUGAGCUCGUCGUACUCGAGGAUGAGACUCGCUUGGCGGAGGCGGUGCUCGGUGGCGAUGUCGACGCGAAAGGGAGGAGAGGAGGAGGAGUACGGAGGAGACGGAGAGAGGGAGAGCGAGUCGGGAAACUGAGAUUCCGGCGAGAAGAUCGAGUUGUAGAGCGAGGCGAAGCUCGCGGCGAAAUCUUCCUGGUGCUGUUUGGUGACGCUUUUGUCAGAUUGAGGUGAUAGCGGAGGCGGCGGCGAGUUUAGCGCCGUCACGCACGCCAGAUCCGUUACGGCGGACGCCACUUUCUCCAUUUUUCGAUUCUGUUAAAAGCUUCCUGAAGAAGAUUUGUUCACAAUGGUUUAAUCGGAGAAGACGAUACAGGUACACAACGAGCAAAACCUAGAGAGAGGGAAGGAGGAGAGAGAGUACCUGAGUAUCGUUGAAGUGUGGAGAAGGCAAAAGAGAAAGAGGCGGUGAAAGAAAGAUGAACAAUGCUCUGUAAAUGAGUAUUUAUACACUGUCAAAUACCGAACCAAGAGAUAGGUGAGGGAGAAGAAGAGUUACAAUCACAUGCGGGAGAGACCACCAGAAGCUUGUUCCUAUACACAAUCUAGACCUUAGAGUGAGUCGGUUUAUGGAUCUGGGUGUAUUUAAUUGGUUAGCGAAUCGCUUCCCUGUGAUUAAGUAAAGCACAGAAGAGUACUCUACCUACUUCGCUUUUCCCGCCUACUUCAGAACCGUUAGAGGUCUUUAACAGAAUAUUAUCAUUUAUUUAUUUUAUUUUAAGGAAAAAAUGUAGAUAGCUUCAACUACAAAACUAGUGUUUUGAAAUUGCAUAUUUACUACAAAACUAAAAAAUACACUGAGAAAAAUGAUUAGUAUAUUCGGUUUGGUGUAUGAUUUUAAGCGUGGGAAUGGGAUUGUGACAAAUAUUCACUAUAAAAUGUUAACCCACUUGUACCGUUUUAUGAAUUACUAAUUAGCAACUUGUGUAAUUACAACUUACUUAAAAUUGUACUCAAAAUUAUCAAUCUUCUCAUUUGGCAAAAUUUCUGGAAAAUAUGAUGAAUAUUCGACGUCAAAAAGACUAACAAAACGUAAUUUGAAAAUUUAGAUGGAAACAAAAAUGUUUGUUACGGGGGAAGUUUUGCUUGUCACUUAAGGAAUUGUAAUUUGGAGGAUACAAAAAGUAGUGAUGGCUUGUAGAAAAUAAGAAAAGAAAAAUUAAUCGAGAAUUCUAUUUUAAAGUUUGGUUGGCUCGAUCAUGAAUAAGAAUAAUUAAUUAACUGAUGAUGAAAUAAUAAAAAUUAGAUGUCAUUGUUUAACUUUCAGGCUGCAAACGACAGUAGUAAGGUAAGGAAGACAAGUGAGAGUUUGCUUCGAGAACACAGCUUUAACUAACUAUAUGGUCCCUCUUCUUCCUUGUGCACAUACUUCAAUCGAAAUCUAUCGUUGUGGCUAACUAACUAGAAAAUGUUCCCUUCCUUCAAACCCAACAACCCAACCGAAUUUACUUUCUUACCCUUUGUUUUCCUUAAAUAUUAUAUAGUCGAUUCUCAGUAAUUAUCACGUAUACUUCUGUCGCUGUAUCGCGAAUUACAUGAAUAAUCGAUUAGUUAAUCAAAAUAUAGGUCAAUGAUAAAAGAAGACAUAAAUGGGCCAUUCAUAUAAGGUUUAAGCCCAUUUGUACAUAUGUAUACUUAUUUUUCUCGUUAAACCCAAAACAUGUAAUAAACUCUUAAUCACGACAAAACCAUGAAGUCAGAUAAGCUCUGGAGUCGAUCACCAGUCGUCAAAACCGGGAAAUCCGAGUUUCCGGUUAUAAGAUUCGUCCGUGGAUACCUCGAGAAAAUCAAGGACAUAACCGGCGGUCCAGGAGUUGGUGUCGGUUUAGGCUGCGGAGCUGGGCUCGGUAUCGGUCUAACCGGCGGGCUCGGGUUAGACGCUUCUGAAGGGCUGAACCAUAGCAAUGUGGUGUUUGGAAUCGGAAUGGGUUGCGGUAUCGGGUUGGGGUUUGGGUACGGAUUUGGAGUUGGCGGCGGAAUCAAUUUCGAUGACAUUGGAGAUUAUUUGACCUAUGAGAAAAGCUCCGGUUCAAAGUCCGGGUCUGGUAAAGGAUUUUUUUCAAUUGAUUAUUAAAGAAAUCGUUGUUAAUUAUUAAUUUUUCAGUCAAAGUACUCGUCGGUGUUGUCUUCUUUAUUUUGGUUUAACCAUGUCUUUCGGUUUAUGUAUCUCAGUUCCGGUUUAAGUUCGUGUAUGUAAUCUUCAUUAAUGGAAUCAUUAAGCCUUGUCUGCUAGAUUGUUUUCAACGAGUUAGCAGUGCCAGAAGCUGAGAGUAGCUUUGGAAAACUGCUUCUAGAUCCCAGAAUGGCUAAUCUUUUGUGAGAGUGUGAUGGUUUAAAAGUCAUAGACUCAUAGGAGUUUUGUGGGACUGUAGGGUAGUGUUACAAGCAUUAUGCAAUGACUACUAAAAUGGUAUUAAAAGGCUGAAGCUACUUAUUACCUCACCGUAAUAUCAAACUCAUGAAAGAUACACAUAAACAUAAUGACGAUAGUUACAUCAAAUAUAUCAUGCAUGAUAAAUUAGUUAUUCUGUUGAACAAAAAAAAAACGAAACACAGUAAUUUCAAAUUGAAGAUGCCAGUUUCUCGAAGCUCUCAAAGACAUUUCUCAUGAUUGGUCUUUUAUCUGGACUCUUCUUUACACAAUCUAAUCCGAUUUUGACCACUUGAACCAUACUGUCUUCCAUGUCUCUAUCUCUAGCUAAAACCGGGUCAAGAACAUACCAAAUCGGUUUAUUUCUCUCAGCAGCUGCUUCAACCCACAUAACCAAAUCGGUCUCUGAACUACUCAUCUGCAUAACCGGAAAUUUCCCGGUUACCAUUUCGAGUACCACUAAACCGAAUGAAUACACGUCCCAUUUCUGAGACGGUUUAGUCAUCUUGGAAGCUUCAGGAGCUUGGUAAUAUGCUUCUCUUGAGACGCUUGGUGAGCGCGACUCCAUCGGAGAGAUCUGAUCCGAUCUAAUGUCUGAAGAAGGCAUGUCGACAAUGCGCCCCAAACCGAAACCUGAAAUUUUCGGUUCAAGAUUCGGUCCGAGAAGUAUGUUGCUGGAGUUUAUGUUUCCAUGGACGUAUCUCUUGGCGCUGAACUCAUGAAUGUACGUCAAUCCUUUUGCGAUUCCUCUCAAUAUUCUUAACCGAACCGGCCAAGAAAGUUGCUUGCAUGACAAGCUACCUGGUCUACCUGUUAAAUAACUUGUAUGAAUUAGACUUGAUCCUAAAGUUCUUAACUAUCAAACAAUGUUCAAAAAAAUCACUAGACCGUAGCUAGGCGCUUCUAAAGAAAUAGCAACUAUGCGGAUUAUUCAGAGAGCCUAUUCGUUAAUAAAUAACUGAUUUUUUAAAAUACUUUUUAUAAUUACAUUAAAAGUUUAGUUUUUUGGAUUUACUUAUAAAAUUAUUUUGAUGAACUAUAAAAGUUAUACAAGAAAAUAAACUAGACAAAUUUGUGAGUUUUCACGGAUAUUGUUGCUUAAUUUAACAUAUGUAAACUACUUAGAUCGAUAUAAACUAAUUUAACCAAUUUAAAUGGUUUAAAGUGGUUUGAAUUGUAUAAAUCGAAUUUUUAGAAAAUCGUUUUCGAUAAGCUCUAUGUGCAGCCUAGGCGGACGUUUAGUCCCACCUACACUGAUUUUUAGAACAUUGCUAUAAAAAUGAUCAAAUAAGACCUUCAAUAUUAAAGAAUUUACACGAUUUGAUUAGAACUUACCUUGAAUAGCAGAGCCAAGGUCGCCAUUUGGUAUGUAAUCAUAGAUUAGGAGUUUCUCUUCAGGAGACCAGCAACAAGCUUGUAGAUUCAAGACAUUCGGAUGCUUGAUUUUAGCCAUUGCUUCGACAUCAGCCAGAAACUCUUUGAGCCUUAGCCAACCUUUAUCCUCCAAUCUUCUAACGGCUAACAUUAGCCCGUUUUCAAGAACAACUUUGUAGACAAGCCCUAUCCUGCUCUUUCCUAGCAGAAAAGCAGACGCUUUCAGAAGCUGGUCUAGGUCAAACUGAAUCUCCGGGUCCAUUGGCAUGAAAACCUGUUGAGUUUUGAUCUCAUCUAGCGCCUCGGAUGCUGAGUUUCCUUUGAAACAGAGAAACUCUUGCAUUGUCUUCUUCUCUGAAUGACUUGUUCGGUUGUUUUGAUCUUUGUCUGCACGAGCCGCGGAUGCUUUUCGGAGAUGGUAGAUGAAUAAUGAAACAAGAAAGAUGAUUCCAGCUACUGUGCAUCCGGUGGCUGUAAGGAUGGUGCAAAAUCUAGAAUGAUGGUUGGCUUUUUGUGUAUAUAGUUGAGAAGGGAUUAUUUGUGUGUUUCUUGUUUCGCAAGAAACCUUUGUGGGUAUUCCACAGAGCAGAGGGUUUCCUUGGAAAGCAUUUGGACCGGCGUUCAACAGGACGUUAGAUUGUGGUAUCGGACCACUGAGAUUAUUGUAAGAAAGAUCAACAUAGAGAACCUCCGGGAGAUCUCCAAGGCUUGUUGGAAUCAUACCUGACAAGGAGUUGUGAGAAAGAUCAAGAGUACCUUUCAGGUUCUUCAGAUUACUUAUAUCUUCUGGAAUUGUUCCUCUUAACCGAUUGAAAGAAAGAUUUAGCGUCCGGAGCUGAACCAAACUAGAACCGAACCGGGUUGGAAGAUCUCCAGAGAAGUUGUUGUUGCUUAGAACAAGCGUCUUCAGCUUCUUGCAUUGAAGAAGCGACAAAGGUAUUGAACCGUUGAAAGAAUUCUUUGAAAGAUCCAAAGUGAUCAGACUCUUCAGCCUCCCUAACUCUUCUGGAACAAACCCGGAAAACGAAUUUCCGGAAAGCACCAAGCUUUGAAGCUCUUCUGGUGCAAAGAGCUCAGCAGGUAACUUUCCUUGGAACUUAUUGUUUUUGAGAUUAAUGUGUCGAAGGGACAAGAGGGUUCCAAUAGAAGGAUGAAGAGAACCGGAAAGGUUUUUAUUGGGAAGACGAAUUGAGACAACUCUCAGAUCUUUAUUACAUGUAAUGCCUAGCCAAAAACAAGGGUUUGAAUCUGAGGAGUUCCAAGUGGUUAAGACAGAGUAGUCUUUCUGGUUUAGUAAGGCUUGCUUAAAGGAAAGAAGAGCAAGGCCUUGAUCGUUUAGAGACGUAGCCAUGGAAAUGAAAAGAGUUAGCAAAAAGCAGAGAAUGAGAAAUAAUUGAGCCAUCUCUAAAGAGAAACUAUUCUGAAUUAGGUAAAGCUUGGCUCCUAAAACGAAGAAAGUAUAUAGAGUUGCUGUACGCUGGACUGGCCUAGUUUUUCCAAGUCAACAGUUGUAAUUCAUUUUCAUCUCUAACAUUUAAAGAUUUUUGUUUUUUUGUUGUUGUUGAAGAAAGUUACCAGCAAAAAUACAAUAUAACCGCAUACUUUUCUACAGAAUAUGGUAUUUUUGAACAGUAUUUGAAUAAACUAGCGGGGAUUGAGGCGAUGAUUGGAACAGUAUGGGAGCACGUAAUGUAAUGAGGAACAGCUUUCUAGUUUCUAGUUGUUUAGUGGUGGGGAGAUGUAUUGACGCUUAUUAGCUUCCAAAUCAUAAAGUCAAAUCUCCACCAGAAAAAUUAUUGUGGCGGUCAAUUUAAUUUUAAGUCGGUACGAUCUUUUUUUCAUAUACGUUUUUAGAUUUUUAUUUAUUUUAUUUGGAGUCUGAAGCAAUCUGGCUAGUUUUCUGGAAGUAUUAUAGUUAACACACAACAUGGAAAACACAAUAAAAUUACAUGGAAAACAUACCUUUUUUUGGAGAAACAUACUUUUUUUUUUGGGAAAAAGAUACUUUUUUGGGGAAAACAUACUUUUUUUUUUUUGGCAAAACAUACUUGAAGUGUUUUUCACAAGUCAUGACCAAACAUUUCUCCUAGGGUUGUCUUUUUAACACAUGGAAAUAAGUAACAAUUCAAUCAAACAAGAGUUGUCUAAUUCAGAGUAAACUCCAACUAUAACAUGAACUGAGAUUCUAUAAAGAAAGAAAUAACUAGUUAAGUAUAUUGAAAAAAUAUUUAAAUAUACAAAAAAUUAUAUUUUAAAUAAAGCUAUUUAGUUUUGUUAGUUUUAGUUCAAAUCUAAACCUUAGCGAUUUUCAAAUCCAAACCGAACUAAAUUGAAGUUUGAUUUCGAAUAGGAUUUAUGUUUUAAAAUUAAAAAAAAAAACAAAACGAAAUUUACCUAAAAUAAAAUCUAUUUUUCAAAGCCCAAAAUACAAAAAAACUGAUUAAAUUACUAACACUUUAAUAGAGUACAAUAUUGUAUCAUUGUCAUACACCUAAGUAUACACAAACAUAACAAAGAUACAAACAAAUAAACCAAUAACAAGUUAACAACAAUGUGAAACGUAAAACGCAAGCAAAAACACUUUCAGUAGUCACUACAACAAGACAACUAAACUUCUCAUUCUUCUAAAGAUGACUUAUCUCUCUUCCUGCUAAAAAACUUAACCAAGUU
rnacentral:lncRNA from 1 species